CAACAUAUCCAUCAUCAUCUUUCAUAGUCAAACUUGGAAUUAGUAUGCAGUCAUAUAGCUAGCAAAACUAUAGUGGGGAAUAGAUCAAAGUAUUGUGUGCAACAGUGCAACUAUCUUGCAUUCCUCUUAGUGAUUUCGUACUAAGAUUCAAUUGAGAGUAUGUAGGAUUUUUUGUAUUUGAAAAGUCUAUAGAUAUUCAAUUCCGAUUUUUAAAAGUCCUCAAAAAUUUGUUGGUAUUCAAUCAGGACUUUAAAAUAUCCAUCCAAAUCUGGUGAUUUUCAAAAUUAAGUUAAUCGACUUCGAAGGAUUCUACUCUAUAUAUGCUCGACUUUGUAGGAUUCUGAGGUGCUGGGAAAUCCGGCGUCCAGAGGUGAAAUUUUCACGUAUUUUGUGUCUCUCUCAUUCUAAAGAUGAAACGUUGACGCCCUAAGAUGAAGAUGACUGGCCUUGACGAACCACUACCUACGUUUCUCUAUUCUCUGAUAACGAAGGUUACUUUCUCAUUCCGAUUUGAUCUUCGUUGUUGUGGUUUUAGGGUUUGGAUUUAUUGAUUGAUAGCUGGAGCUUAUACCUUCUUCAAUAUUUUCCAUAUUUGAGAGCAUUGUUCAAUAAUGAAAAAAGAUAACACUCUGCUUGUUUAGAUCAAUAAUGGUCAGAAGCUAUAUCAGAGAGGCUGUUUUUCUUUUUUCUUCUAUAGAAAGAGUCAUGUUUUUAGUACACUAGAUAUGAAUGACGUGUGAUGUCGCUUAUAGGCAAAACCUAAAUCCUUCCAUCAGCAGCAUAACAGUCAUUGAGAAAUAAUAACUUGUGCACUACCAUCACCACUCUAGAUUUAUAUACUAUAUAGGCAUAUAACCCAUAUAUAUACAGCCCUUCUUGGCUGCGGACGUCCGCACCGAAGGUUUCGGUGCGGAUUUCUAUUUUUGCAUCACUUUCCGGUCGAAUUUCCUCAUCUCCACCGUCUAGUAUCUAGAUAAUAUUGUGUAGAUCAUCUCUGUAAAAUUUCAGCCAAUUUGGUGAUCGUUAAUGCCCUCAAACUUGAGUUUUUCUAGUAUGAACACAACCGGACAGAAUUCAGUCCGUCCAUUUGUUUUUCGAGUUUAAGGGCCUUANNNNNNNNNNNNNNNNNNNNUGCAAAAAUGGAAAUCCGCGCCAAAACUUUGGUGCGGACGUCCGCAUUUGAGAAUUCCUGUAUAUAUAUAUAUAUAUAUAUAUGUCCACGCACCCAACAAUUUUGUAAGCAACCUUUCUGAAACUUUUACACUAUACUCUAUGUCUGCAUCAUAGAGUUUGGUUGUUUAGCUCUUCAAUUUGUACAUUUGAUUGAUACUUGCUUUUGUGUUGAAACUAGAAAUUACUGAUUGAUAUUUUUUUUAGAAGGAAAGUAUUGAUUGAUAAAUUGAGUUGAUGAGCUUUCUAUGCAUUUUACCUUCCAUUUAGUAGCAAAUUCUGUAUGGCGGUGAGCCUUUAUUUUUUUUUUGAUCAAAUGAAAUAUAAUUCAUAUGGAAGAUGUUACAAGCGGUAUGAAUAAUACAAGCAAAGCCACUAAUAGACCACUUAUAACAAAUCUCAGACCAAAGGCCUGAAAAAUUACUUCCUAAAAGAGUUACCAAAUCUCUAGUACACCAUGAGACAAGAAAAUGAUCAUCAAGACCAGAAGACUUGUCCGACAAACUGCCAACAGAGUUGGAAAGAAAGCGUCGGCAUCCCCAAUGGGUAGCGGCUCUAACCCCAUGCAGGACAACAGCUCGAGUCAACUCGAUCCGCUUCCUGAUUAGUGAAUACACGUGAUAAUUGCGGGUGUAAACCGAUAUCACUAUAUCAGUGGUGCAUUGUAAUCUGCCCAAGCACGACCACAACGGGUCAAAUUAUUCAAAACACAGAAACAAACAUAAAGCUAACAAAAAAACAAAACAAAGGGAUGCAGCACUUCUCCUGGAUAGGCAAGAUCAGACCCGGCUGGGCCUGCCCAAGAACAGAGUCCUAGGCCCAAUCCAAAUCAAACCUGGCCCAUAUCCAAGAGCACUCCAAACAACAGCUUCCAUCAAGACCAGGCGGUGAGCCUUUAAGUUUCACAGAUAUGUUAUGAUUGAUCUAAAAUACAUGGCAUAAGAGUUAUAUCUCAUGAGAAGGUAAUAAAAGGAGUAAUAAUAGUCUUCAGCAUACUGAUAGUCUGAUAGCGUGUCAAAAGUGCACAUGGCGCACACUGCAUACUCAAACACAUUAGUUGGAAUUAACAUAUCCCUACAGGAAUGUAUUAUCUCCUCUGUUGGUCUAUAAUGUAAUGGAACAAAUAUAUCAAGAUUCACAUAGAUUGCACUUGCGUUUGAAAAUCAAGAAGCAUAUACUAGACUGGCCUGUAUCUAUUUUCCUAUGCCAGCUGUGAGCUUGAUUAGGAUACUAAAGCUUUUAUUUUUUGCUCAAAGAUCGUUUCUCCAGGUGAGUAUCUAUAUCAGCUACCACAUUUUUGGAACCAUAAAAACAAUUGCAAAUAUGCUGACGUUUAUUAUAGGAUAGAAAGAGGUAGAACUCUAGUGCUUGCAUGAUAGUUAAAUUUGAUGAUCUCUAUUGCUCGAUUUAUGUCUAUGAAUAAUGACUAUAUCUUAUGAAACGAGAAACUUGUAGGCAAGUAUGAGAUAUGUUCUUUAGUUUGAACCUAGGAUCCAAUACCAACGCAACCAACAACAACUGAUUCAUGUCUUCAAUACGUUCAAAAUAUUUUCUAAACUUGACAAGCAUCUUUUCUGCCAUCUUCAACAUCAACAAUUGAACUUCACUUCUAGUUCCAGCCACAAGCGCAAAAAGUGCAUUGUCAUGAAAUGCUUUAUGAGUAAUAGGGUGUCUAGUCAGUAAUAGGGUGUCUAGUCAUACUCAUCUUCAAUAAAAAAAAACUUCAAGAUCAACACAAAUAUUGCAACCUUUUCCCAAUCCUCAUCUUCUGGUGGUCCAACUCUUGUUUUUUGUUGUUGUUGGUGUCACCGAAACAUACUCUUAUUCUUCUUCCUCAUCGAGCUCAUCUUCUUCAUCAAAAUAGCUUCUAUACUUGUUCAUUUCCUCUGCAGCCAUCCUUUGAAAAGUUGACUUCACAUCUAUAGCUAUGUCAAGCAUUAAAAAUGUAGAAUUCCAUCUUGUUGGAAGAUCAAGCGCCGGUAUGUUUUCAGUGUCUAUGUUCCCUUCUAAUCUUUCUUUCUCCAUACACACCUUGAACACGUCUAAUCUAUUAGAACUACUUCUAAUAUACUUGACUGCAUUCCUAAUUGCUACACAACUUUUAUCCAUUAAGGACAAACCAGCCUUCACUAUGAUGUUCAAGAUGUGAGGUGUUUGAAUGUGCUUUCCUCCAAUCACCGGGGCGUCUUUCCAUGCAGCCAUUUUUCUUUGAAUGUACUUUAUCGCCACCUUAUUUGCACUUGCAUUAUCGACUGAGAUCAAUAGCCAAUCCAGGACGAAAUUGUCACCCGAGCUAAUUGUAACGCAAAAAAAAUUUCAACGAAUCUUGACUGUACGAGAAACUUUUAUAGAAACUAACCAUAUCUUAUGAAACGAGACAGAGCUGGAAAUGAUCGGUGACAUGUUUGGUUUUUCAGAUUUUUGUGGUGCAAUGAUGCAUGUUUUGGUGCUGCAAGAAGAUACAGAACUUAGAAGAAAUUAUAGAUCAGCUCCUCGAUCAGCUCCUCGAAGUGACUUCUUGGAAAAUUUAGAACUUAAGUAGAUUAAAGCCUAAUGGCUAAACAUCUAAUUGGGGUAACAAAUGUAUGGCUCACGUUGGUGCAAAUCCAAUCACCUCAACCAAAACUCUUAUUUUCUAUUGAGUAAUAAUUUGAGUAAGUCUUCUUAACCGCCGUGGUUUCCACCCCUGAUAACAGUUUUACGCACGAAGAAGAGAGACCGAUCAAGGAAACAAACACAGACUAGAUAACUUCAUGUCUGUCAAGCACACUUGUUGUGCAUAUUGUAGUGAGAUAGACGUGCACAAGAGAGGUAGGAGUUAGUUUUGAACUUUUGAUUAUGAUGUGAGAGUGCUAAUGGCUGUCGUAAUAUAUGAAGUUUGCUCACUAAUUAAAGGAGAGUGCUUAGGUAAAUUAAACACCUUGAGCUAUAUAUGACGUGAGGUAGCUCACCAGCCAUACAUGAAGUAGCAUAUUUUUUUCCCUCAAAGAAUCUCACCUAGGCUUAAGCCUAGGUGAGCUAAUGGCUGGAUCCGCCUAGGUGAGCUAAUGGCUGGAUCCGCCACUAACCGAGAUAGUCAACACCUUAUCUAUCCUCCAACGCAGCAAACAAGAUUCUAAAAUCUUUCCUAUUGUUAUGCCUUUGUGAUUGGGAAUCACACAAAAGUUGAUGAACCUCUUGUGCAAAUUCCAACCAACAUCUAUAAAGUGCGCCAUCACAUCAUAUAGUUGAUGUUAUGAAUUGAAGUUCAAGUAUAUGUCGUUAAGCACGCCAUGUGACUACUUAAGACCUUCCUAAGCUCCUCUUUCUUCUCAUCACAUUUUCCAGAAGCACCUUACUAUUGUCUCUUAUAUGGUGGAGUGAAUUGCGGGACAACCACCUUGAAGAAAUGCUUAAACCCUUCAUUCUCAACAUGGUUGAACGGCAGCUCAUCGAUUACUAUCAUCUCACAAGCAGCUUGCACACAACGGUUAUGGGUUCACACUUUUUGGAGUUCCAUUUCAGGUUCGGCUUCACCAUCCCCAGCAAUCACAGCUUGUCCGUCGUCUAUAUUUUCCCUACCAGCAUACUUCUUGCAUACUUUUUGAAUAUGCCUAUGCAAAGUGCUCGUACCGUUAAAAGGAGAAUAUGCUUUGAGGUCAGCGCCACAAUGCACGCAUACACACAUAGUGCACACUUCUCAUACCCCGCGUGCACUUUCUUCCCAUCUCGGUGAGUGAAGAGUUCUCUUUCAUACUUCGUAAAGUGUUGCCACACCAUUGAAGUCAUUUUAGAAGUAGGCUUAGGAAGAGUUGAUGCAGAACCUUUUCUUCUUCUUUUCGGCACACCCUGUGAAAUCUUAGUUGAUGCUGGUGCUUCAUCUACAACCUCAAUUGGAGCUUCUGGUUUUGGUUAUGGCUCCUUGUUCUCAGGCAUCUCAGCCUUUGCCGUAACCAAAUCAUUCCCGGUCUGAGUUUGACCUGGUACUUCUUCAAUGUCAUCUCCUGAGUCGUAACACCUAGUGUCACUAUCACUACUGACUGAAUGACAGUCGUAUUGUAAAGAAGACUACGACAUCUCAAACCUGCAUAAACACAAGUACACAACCAGCAACAUUAUGAAAAUAUGAAAUCGAAAACAAGUAAAACAAGUCUUUGUUACUUAAUUAUGAAAUUGAAAAGUCGAGCUAUCAGUUUAGCCUAAUAUGAGCUAUGCCUAAUAGUCUAAUAUGAAAACAACUAAGUAACUAACACAUCAAGCUAUCAGGAGUAUCAACUAUGAAAUCUAAAUCGAAAUCACAAUCCAAAAAGAGGAAGAGAGGGAAUGAAUCAAAUGAGUCAUUAAGUCAUUAACACAACCACAACUCCACAAGUCCAAAAUCACAAUUGAUUGAGAAUAGGAAUGAGAUUUGAGAGGAAGAGAGGGAAUCAUGGAAUGAGAUUGAGAGAAGAGAGAUGGAAGCGAAGGCUUACCAGAGACGGUGGGCGACUGAAGCGGAGAACUAGAGAGGCGUGCAGGCCUGUAGGCGUUGUCGAGAGGAAGAGAGGAAGAGAGGCGCAGUCGAGGAAGACAAGCGCAAUCUGAGUUUGAGUGUUUGAGUUAGGGCUAGGUUUACUCAAAUUUGAUUAAUCCUGUGUGGUUAAACCUAUGGUACUAGUAUAGGAUCGCUAAAAUUAACUAAUCGUUGAACGACGGGCUUUCGGGCCUAAACUUUUACUAAAAAUUAAGGACUGGGAUCAGCCCAGGUGUAUUCCGAGACCAGUCUAGAGACCCAGUCCGGUCGGGCCAACCGGUCCGAUUCGGUCUUUUUUCCCUGCACGGGUUUUAUGCCCACCCUUACAAUCAACUCUAUUUCAAAAGAAGAGCAUACCACCUUAAAUAAAUAAAGCAUACCUCGAUCGUAAGUUAUUCCUGACGUAGACAAAAUUAAUGGGGGAUGUAAAUUGUGAAUUAUGUAAAAGAUAGUUACCGGGCUCUUUUACUGUUAAGGGUAUUUUUGCCUUUUAGCCGGAUUAAAAGUAAAUAAUGGAAAUAGAGCAAUAGCAGACCCUAAACAAAACAGAGCAAAAGGGGACACAAUAUCGCGCAGAAUUCGACCCAAACAAACAAGGGGACACAGAGAAAGCGCCACCUUCGGCCGCCGACACUAUUUCCGGCCGUCUCUGCCGGCGGAAAUCAUAUCAUCCUCUUCGCCUCUGAACUCGCUUUCCAACCAUAUAACUUUCAAAUCCUAUCUCUCACCGUACGCGGCGAAUCGAAGUAGAAAGCUUUUUUGAGGUUUUCCGGCAUCUUUUCCGAUUUCCGGCCAAGCCGUCGACUCUCCUGCAAAACCCUAAGGUAUAAAGCUGUUCGUCACCUCUUGGGUAUAGUACUGGAUGUAGUUUUUUGAGCUUUUCAGAAUAAGGGAAGUUGGCCACUAUGAGCCACCGCAGCUCCGGCUGCUUUGUUCGGCUGUUAUUUGGUCUCUGUGACGCGUAUAAUACUCAAUAGGAAGUUUUAAUUGAAUAGAGGAUCUUAGUGACUGGGUUUAUAUUGCUGUGAGAGCUGAUCAAAUGCAUUAUGUUUGAUGGAGAACUUGUAUAACUGAAAUGUAAAGAUUCUGGACAGUGAGUAGAUCAAAUCAUGCUUCCUUGCAUUUGGUGUGCUUGGGAUAUUGGCUUGGAAGUAGAAGUCUUUAUGAUUUUUAUGACUUUUAGUUUAGAGUUCUGAGUGAUGUGAAAGAUGAUAACUAGUUCGUUAUAUUUUUCGUAAGUUAGCUGAUAGAAGUCUUUUGGCAGGGCGAUCAGAUACAUUUUUAUUUUUAUUUUUUAUUUGGUUGUGUUCAACUGCUGAGCUGCAGAGGAGAGUUGAAGAAAAGGCAAACUGGUAUAAUUCUGCUCCCUGUUUUGCUUACUUUCAAAAUUUAAACUAUGAUGAAAAAUGUCAUGUUUAGCCGUUUAGGUCUGUUUAGGUAGUGACCCAUGCAUAAUGGCAUAGCAUACAUUUAAUCUCUCUCUCUCCACAUCCUUAUUUACGCUGUUGAAAUACUAACUCAAAACACUUCGAUAAAGUAGAGUAUUCGUUGCUCACCUCUUAGUUUAUUUAUGUAAAGUAUAGAAACCAAGUUCUAAUUUAGCUUUUUAUUUCUUGAGAAAAUUGGCUUAAGGGCUUAAGAUUUGGAACAUGGGCAAGAGGGAGAAGCAAGCAAGCAAGUUUCAUUGGGACGAAUUAAGUGAGGGAGAAGGAGAAUCAGCUAAUAGGAAAGCCUUGAAAUCUGUAGUACAGAUCAGUAGCGAUGACGAGGCCAAUGAAGAUCUCAGCCUCAAAAUAGUUGAAAAAGCUUUGCUGAUGCGUGCUGCCAAACUGGCCUCAGAGAACGACUCAGCUGCUUCCGAUCUAGGUGGUGUGACUUCUUCGUCUUCUCCACAGGUUGCUGAAGUUGAGGCCGCAGAUCUGGAGACUAAGAAAGUAGUUAAGAAGGACAGGGUGAGGAAGAGUAAAAAGAGGAAAAUUGAAGACCCAGCUGUGAGUUUCUUGUUCUCUUUAACCUUGUUCCUACAGAAAUUUGAUUCAAGGAAAAUCAGUUAAUUGUGUGUAAAUUUGUUGAUUUUUACUGCAAAACUUUAGUUAUUUGUGUUUACUGAAACAUAACUCAUAUAUUGUUGGCUUUUAAAUGUUUGUUUUCUUGAUGAAUUUGUUUGUUCGAUAAAAUGGUGGUUAAAAUGUCUGUGUAUCUAUUAGGUGAAUCUUGCUAAAGAAGAAGUGAAGGUAGACGAAGGUGGAGCUGUAGAUGAGACAAUUGAACUGAACAAUGUUCAGAUCACUGACAAUAUUGUGCUGCGGAAACUUCUUGUGAGUUUUAGCACUCUGUUAGAAUACCUUUUUGAAAAUGGCAAACCAUAUGAAGGCCUUAAUUUGGUACUAUCUUAUUCCUAUUUUAUCAGCGGGGACCAAGGUAUUUUGAUCCUCCAGAUAAGAGCUGGGGCGCAUGCUUUAAUUGCGGUGAAGAAGGGCAUGCAGCAGUGAACUGUACCGUAGCUAAGCGGAAGAAGCCAUGCUUUGUUUGUGGUAGUUUGGAGCACAAUGCCAAGCAAUGUGAAAAGGUUAGUUGGAAAAGAAAACUAAGACACUAGACUCAAAAGGGAUUUUAUUUCUACGAGUUAUUGAACAUUUAUUAGUUCUGGAUGGUGGUGGGGCUCUACAUGAAGAGAUUGCUUUAGCUUAAAUAAUUGAGAUUUGAACAAAAGGUUUAGGGUGCUGAAAUUUGCACACCCUUUUCUACAAUCCACACAUCCUUUCAGCUGCUUUUACUAGAAUACCCUUACACUCGUCUCAUUAUUCUCUCUUCCUCUAUUUGCACGUCUAAAGCACAUUCUCUCUCCCUGACUCCAACAACCAGUAAGUUCUUCUCUUCAGUUCUUCUCUUCACCGGCAUCUUGGCCGCAGUCCCAUAACUGCUCAAAGGCAGUCGAAACAGAGAUCGAAUACCGGUUUCUUGGGGUUGGUCUGCUCGAGCUCGCCGUCGUCCUCGCUCCCGAGGAUGACAACGAGCGACGAGGCCGAGGAACUGGCCGAGGGUUGAUGCCGCUGAAUAUGAGGUGGAAGAGGGUGGAGAAGGGGGCGCCGGACUUGUCGGAGGAGGAGGGGAGGAUUUGUUGUUUGAGAUUGACGCACAAAUUUGAGGUGGGCAUGAAAACAUUCUUGAAGACAUGAAAACGAUCGAGUGUGAUGGAAACAUUUUUGGGUUGGAUUUCGAUGCCCUGUUGGAUUCUCUUUGGAUUGGAGAUUUCAUCCAUGGCUGGGAUACAAUGACCUUUCCAAUUCCAUAGAUGCAGAAGAACAGCAGAAGCAGAACAAUUACGAAGAGAGAGGGAGAGGGGUAGUUACAGGAGAAAAAUGUUAUGAGUUGAUAAAAAAAUAUCAAAAAAUAGAAAGGGUGUGCCAAUUGUAAAAAAUGGUGUGCAAAUUUCAGCACCCAAGGUUUAUCCCUUCUUUUCAAUUAUGCUUAAUUAUUUUUCUUUCUCUUUAUAAAUUAUAAAUAUAUGUGUGAUAGUAAUAUUCUGAGAAUAAAACUAAGGAUACUACUUGCCUGUUUUAUUUGUGCCUUAUAAUCUUUUGUUAAAACCACUUUCCAAAUAUAAUGAAUUGUUCAUAAAUUCUUGUUGGCUAUGUAACUAUACAAAGAUAGGUUUCGCCAUUUCUACCCUCUAUUUUCUCAUGUUACACCUGCUAUAAAUGUACACAGGGACAUGAUUGCUUUAUCUGCAAAAAGGGUGGACAUCAUGCUAAAAAUUGUCCAGAGAAGUACAAUGUUGGCUCAUUGACUUCCAAAAUAUGUUUAAAAUGUGGAGAUUCUGGGCAUGAGAUGUAUUCAUGCAAGAAUGAUUACCCAUCUGAUGACCUCAAGGUAUACUGUGGUUUUCUUAUCGUUUGUGUUUGAUAUCUGAUUAAAUGCUAUUAAAUAAUUUGAUUUUUGAUAUAUCAGGGAAGAGCUGCUUCUUGAUUUUUGUUUUAUUUCUUGUAAACAGGAAAUUCAAUGUUAUGUCUGCAAGAAAUUUGGUCAUUUAUGUUGUGUCAAGUGUGGUGAUAACAGUGUAAAGGAAGUAUCUUGUUACAGAUGUGGUCAACUGGGACACACUGGUAUGGUAAGUCUCAUUUGCUCCUAAGGCUCCUCGUGUGUAUGACUUCUGUAUGUGGAGUUAGGUUUUUAGGUCUUUGGGUUAAGAACCUGCAAUUUCAUUAGACAUGACAAUGUGUGUGUGUGUGUCGUUAUAUUGUAUAUGUAUGUUGUCAGGUGAUUUUAUGGUUUAGUCUCGUAGGCAAAAAAUUUGUGAUCAUUUUCAUUCACAUAUGCAGCUUUCGACAGUUCUGUUAUAUAAUUUUGUUUCAAACUAUUUUGUCAAUAACAGAAUCAUGUCAUGAAAUGUCUGGAUAUCAUUCUGCAUUCUAUUUUGGGAGAUGCAUGAAAUAUGAUGCUGUACACUUUAGCUAUUUUCUUCGUCUUGUUUGAAAUUUCAUUGAGUCCAUAUUAAUACUUGUUAAGUAAUGUUUUCAUAUCUGUUUGCAAAAUGUUUUGAUCAUCUAAAUAUUCAUUUCAAUUUUUGUGUGCCUAAAACGCCUUAGUUUUAGUCAUUUUGUUUCUUUUGAUGGUGUGGAGGCAGUCAACUUUUCUCCCAAUACACUAAGAAAUGGUAAUCUAUACAUGCAGGCGUGCAUAGGCUUCCGUAGUGGGGAAACCACUGUGUCUGAAACCCCUCGUUUAUGCUACAAAUGUGGUGAAGGUGGUCAUAUUGCUCGGGAAUGCAGAACCUCCAAUAAUGUAACCUUCUGCUAUAUUAUCUGCAAUUUUUCUUAGAUUGUUUCUGUUGUGGUAGUAUUGUCUGGCGAUAUCAACUGGAGUACUUUGUGUAACUUGCAGGCUCGUAAGAGGUAUGAUGAGUUCUCUAACGUAUCUACCCCGACUUUGAGACCUCAUAAAGAAAAGAAAGACUAUAUGGGAUUCUAUUCUGCUCCUAAUGAUCUGAAUAAGAAUAAAAGGAAACAUACCUACUAUGAUGAUAGAGGCUUUACAACUCCACAAAAAGCAAUACAUAGAGGUGGGUGGAUAGUGGAUGAUCCAGAUGACUUCUCCCCUAGAAAAGGCAAGAACGGCUGGAAGUCCCCUGCAACACCAUCUAGUAGGAGCCAUAGGAUUCCAAGUUCGACUGCAGGCAGUCAUGCUUCAAGUUCUAGAUCCUCUAAAAAGUUAUGGAAGGUUUCUGGAGGAACUCCUAUCUCACAAGGAUCAUCUAAGUCUGUUCAUCACAGAUAUUCUGCACAGAGGUUUAACAACUCUGGUACUGAUGGUAUGAGAAGAAAUAACGAGUGGUGGUAGGCAUAGAAGAUAAUAUUUAUACACAAGUCUGAAUAGGUUUUAUGGACAAGUUUUACAUGCCCAACUGCCCAAGUGUGGCUGCACGCACGCAUGCUUGUUGUACUGUCAUCCGUUUAGGAUCCUUUGAGCUCAUUCUUUUGUAUGUUUUUAAAUGUAGCGCCACCUCUUGAUUCUUUAUACAUUUAUUUACAUGUUUUAUUUUCUAUAGAUUCGCAAUUCUAUGAAGGCUUUAUAUGAAUCUGUUUUGUCUUGAGAGUGACCAGUAAAGGCUGUGAGUGGCAUAUCCAUGGAUAUAGCCUGUGACAGGAAAUCUCAAAAAAAUCAGUUUCCUGAAGACAUCGUACAAGAGAUCCCCCUGAAGUUGCCCAUAAAAGCUCUACUCCAAUGCACCAGUGUGCAAGUCUUGGCUUUCCCUAGUUUCAUUGGCAAGUACCCACCUCCCCAAGAAAAACUACCAUCCCUAACAUGUAAACCACAGAUCAAAGCAAAGACCAUAUGAAGCUGACAAGGGAUGAGAGUAAUACCCUUGCAACAACUUCUUAACAGAUCGAUGAAAAAUUAAAGAGCAUUAUUUGCAGCUGACAAGGGAAGAGCUAUUUGUCCCAAGACGAUGACUCGAUUCUACAACAGUGUCUACCAAGAAGUUUGUUUCUCUAAAAACAUGCUUGAAGUUGACCUUCUGAAUUUUUGAGCUAGCCAAAUGAUAUCUUGAACGAGAAACCUGAUCCUCCAUGGUACUUGAAUUGAACUACACCCAAAUAUUUACAAACUGAUCAUCCAUUUCUAAUGUACCUAUUAGGUAGGGCUGAUCGUUUUGGGCCUGGUAUGUCUCCAAUACAAACGGCCCAACCAUUUACUCUCUCAAAAAGCCCAACCUCAACAGCUACAGAGCUUAGUUCACCUUCACACUCAAGUGACUCAACUCUCACUCUCUCCCUAUCUUUUCUCCCACGACCAGAGUAACUAUGCAAACACUACUCUCGCCGGCAGCUCGCUCCGGCUUCUUCCCGGCGGCGCCACAGCAGGCCGCCCCGGCUCGUCCCUCCGCGUAUCAUCUCCCUCUACGAUCAAUCCCCCCCUGCCACGUCCCCAGCCUCACUCUCUCUCCUUCUUCGCCUCUAAAUCACAGAGGAUCAAAGCUCUCCUUGGCCACUACUCUAAGGGCAACUUCCACUCCAGCUUCUCAGACCUCCUCCCCCGGCGACGAAGCCGAAAAGGCCAAGCUCCUCCAGGUUCUCUCUAACACUCCGCAAUUGUUUUUGUUUCAGAAGAAAAAAAAAAAAAUGUAGCAAAAUUGAAGAGCAUGUAAUUUUACAAUUGUUUAUGAUUAGUAGAAAUAAAUUGUGUAGCUUUUGAUUGAUUGAAUAGCGAAGUUUGUUGAUUUUUGAGUUGUGUGUUGUAAUGUGUAGGAGGUGGCUAAAAGGUUGGAGAGCACGGCGAGGUAUUUCAAGAGGUUGGGUAGUUUAGGGUUUUGGGGACAGCUGGUGUGCACUGUUGUGGCUGCUGUGAUUCUUUCCUUUUCGGUUGUUAUAACUGGGAAGAUUUCGUCGCCGCCUACGUUUUAUGCCACUGCUGGUGGGAUUGUUGCGGCUUUCAUUUCUGUGUUUUGGUCAUUCGGGUACAUUCGUCUGUCGGAUAAGCUUCAGAAAACUGCAAGGGAUCCUGCAAAGGUAUUGGACAUUGUCAUUUGUUGGGAAGAUGUAUUGUUGAAUUGUGUAUGUGGUCAUGAAUUGGCUCAUAGGUUGAGUGGUUGAUGUGAUUAUGUGACGCCAUGAAGGUUAUAGGUUGAUGCGUCUGUCGGAUUUUGCUAUAUAAAUUGGUUGAUUGAAGUGAAUAAUCUAAUGAAAAGUGUUGCCAAUUGUUGGGAAAGCUAAUGCCUUUAUGACUGAAUUGUGUGUGCCUUCUUGAUAUUGAUCAAUUAGGUUUUUUCUAUUAUGCUUGAUGUUAUGAUGUGAAGUUCUUCUAUGAGUCCUGUCUAAUUAAGUCAUUAUUGAAUGAAAUUAGCUUCUAUUCCAGUUCUUAUAUGCUUAGAAAGAUCCAAUGCAUAUAUGACCUUUUAACUUCUACAUAUGUGUUCUUCUGCUUAUAACAUACAGGCCCCUUCUCGUGCUGAUGUAAUCAAAAGCUUAAGGAAUGGCAUUGGACUGAACCUUUUGGGUAUGGGUGCUGCUGUUCUUGGUAUGCAAGCCACAGUAGGAACAUUGGUUGCUAAGGCUCUUACGUCCUCAGCAACUCCAUAUUACCAGGGUCUCUCUCCUGGCUACAGUCCUGUUCUUGCAUUGGAUGUAUUCUUGGUGCAGGUAAUUCAUAUAUCUCAGUUCAAAAUUUUAAUUCUGAAACGUACUAUUAUGAUUGAUCAACUCUAACCCGCAUGUAAUGGAUUUAAUUUAUAUAAUUAAGUUUCCUAUGUACUGUUUGAGUCUAGAAACACACCUUUUUUUUUUUUAAUCAGUUGUAGUAUUCCACAACUAUCAAAAUUGUGUAGUGUCAAAGUAAUAUACCAUACAGUAUUUCAUAUUAAUGACAGUUAAUAUUGGAAAUCUGUGUCAAAGUUAUGUACUUGAGUUUAACAGUUUGAUACAGUAUUUCAUAUAAAGAUGGUUGAAACUGAAAAUCUCGUAGAAGUUCGGCUAUGAUUAUCAUACAAGAAUUUCGCUUUGAGUGGGAGAAUAUCUGAGCUAUCUAUCCAUCUAUUCCUCUUGCAGGCAUCUGCAAACACUAUCCUUUCGCAUUUCUUGGGGCUUGUUUUCUCACUAGAGCUGUUGCGCUCAGUGUCGUUGCCACCUGCCGAAGGCAGUCCCAUUCCUAAGAUGGCUUAAGUUCUUUGCCUCUACUCGACAUGGUGUACUUUGAUGUUGAAAGAUGUUUUGAAGCUAUGAUUGUAGAUGAGUGGAGUCCAUGAUGUUAAUGAAAAAUCCUCAGUUUUGUAUUAUAAAUUCGCAGAUUUUGCUGCCUGUUUCCAAUUGCAAUAUAUUUGGUUACAAGGACCAGUGUACCUGGACUCUCUUAGGCACUGUUUUAAGCAACGGUAGGGAAUGGCCAUGAGCGAAGUCAUGUUUAAAUAAACUUUAGAGCUUCAAUUGUAGUUGGUGCCAUCAGUUUUGUUAAGAAAAUUCUGCAAGGACUUUUGUACCAUUUACCUGAGGCUUUCUAAUUUGAAAUUAACUUUGCUGUAUACUUUCACAUAAUCCUAUUUCAAUUGUCGUGCACUCAGAGAUAGCACAAAUGAACUUGCCAGAUAUUUGAGACUUAUGGCACUGUUAUUAACAAUUUCAAGUUUUCAACCAUCAAGAAAAGAUUACAUAAUAAGGUGAGGUUUGAGGACCGUAACUGUAUCCAUAUACAGUUUAAGUUGGAAGGAAAGCAUAAUUAUAACAAAUAUAGAAUAAAACCAACGCUUUGCUCUUAAAGGAUUUCUAUGCAUACCCAAGAUUCCCAAAUAGCAAGAAAAAGUGCAACAAUGGGGGUUGGGAUUAGUUUGAGUACCAAAGGCUAUGCUGGGGAGUUGGGAUGUGUGUUUCUGUGAUCAUGAUAGGAAAGAUAGCUUUCACUUGUUUGUUCGAUGCCCAUAUGCAUAAGAGGUUUUGGCAGAGAACCGGUUUUCAAGGACAGCAGCAUGGAAUGAUUUCUUCCAUGACUCGUUUGUAGGAUUGUAGAUGUUGUGAGACAAGCUUCAUGAAUCGGGUGAAGAUGUUAGUUUGGGGCCUAUGGAAGAACCAGAACUCCAAGGUCUGGGAUGAUAAGACGAAGCAUGCGUCCGAAACGGUACUUCUUACUACUCUAUGGAAAGAGAGGAAUUUAAGAAGUGCAAUGCACACCCACAGAAGCAACCAAGGCUUCAGGCUAAAUGGAACAAACCAGGGGUUGGUCGGAUCAAAAUAAACUAUGAUCGUGGCUUUAUAGCAGGUACUCAGUACUCUGAUUAGAAGAGGAUGGUCCAGACUUAACUGCUAUGAGUGCAAUGAUACAGAAGAUUAAGCUAAUGCUUAAGGAUCAUGCUAGUUACCAAGUUAUUCAUGUACAUAGGUAAGCAGAUGGAGUAGCUCACUCUUUAGCUUCUCAUGAAGUUAUUCACUUACAUAUGUAAGCAAAUGGAGUGGCUCCCUCUUUAGCUUCUCAUGCUUUACAAAACUCCAAACAUGGUUUGCCCCCAAGUUUACAGGGGAAGCCAUCCGAAACGAUUGUAAUCAUUAAUUGAUUCAAUGAACUUUACUUUCAAAAAAGGAAAAAGUACACUGAAAUCUGAAGUAUAGCAAAAAAGAGUUUACUUUCUAUAUUGCAUUCGAAUGAUAAAAGUUUCCUACUCUUUCAUCCCAUCCUGUAAAGUACAUCCGGCAGGAAUCAGGAUCCAACAAUUCAAUAACUACUGACCAAAAAUUUAACAAGAUUAUAAGGUCACAGUGGGAACAAUGCAACGCUGAAACUCAAACGUAGAAGAUAAUGGGAUCCAUUCAAAUGUUGUCAGCCAUGCUGUCUGGCUGUCAAUAUGUAUAGCAACAGCAUGCCAACCAAAAGAAACCCUCAUGUUGAAAACCAUUCAAAACCAUGUCUAAGAAACCCUCAUGUUGAAAACCAUCGAAAACCAUGUCUAAGGCUAUUAUCACACUUCUCUGAGCUCCAUGAUACCCUGCACCAUAAGCAGAUAUGCCUCAGUAUACAUGAGAAGCAACAAAACUGCAUACAAAAUAUUGAAAUCAUUGUCAUCAGUCAUCACAAAUGACAACAUCUAUAUACAAAAAUAUUGAAAUUACGGUCAUCAUGUUAUAGGAAUAAUACUAGAAAUCUACAUGUUCAGAGAGACUAUGGAAGAAUACUUAAAAUUUAAAGCUUGAAGAAUCCGAAUUUCUUUGUUAUUAUGUUUCUACCAAUGAUUAAUACAGUUAUAUUACUUAUACUGACACCACCACUCCUAGAGCCAAUGCGACAGGUAAGAACUCAUAUGACAUUCUCCUGAAGAACAAAGAUAUUGUUUAAUGUAUUCAUCAAGGUAAAGCAGAUUGCCAAAUUAUAAUCUUACAUCAAACAAUAGUACAACUGUACAAGGUAGCUAAUUACUACAGACAAGAGCAAACUAACAUAUCUGGGCUGAACUUUCCCACUCAAUAGCCAGGGAAAGUAUUGUAUCUUUACAGAUUUCCACUCUGAGUUAUAUGACAAGAAGUCAAAACAUAUUCUCAAAGCAAACACUUGGACACCAGAAAUUUGUCAUUUCAUAUGAAUCAAAUGAAAAAGUUUCUCAAUCGUGGCGGUUGCACCAAGGUACCUGUAAACAGAUCUGUAAAAGACCCAUUCACAGCAUACCCAUGCCCAGAAAUUGAACACAUGAUACUCCACCACACUAUAAUUCUCCUAACUAACUUAUAGCCAUCAAAUUUUCUGGCCAUCCCCUUCUCUUUUCCUGUUGGAAGUUAGAAAAUGGGUGGAAAGGUCAAAGGUUGUGAGUCCUACUACUACUUAUCACCUCAAGAUGUUUGACCUGACAUAGCGGAAUCUUACAAUAUGCCACACAGGACACAUGAAACGUUAUAAUUCAAUGCAUUUAACCAUCAUAAACUAGAGAAGGCUGUUAUAUUUCAUAGCAUUGGGUAUGCUUAAUUUUAGAAACAUAAGCAUGCUCUUGAAUGACAACGAGAAUGCCCAAACAUGAUAUAUCCUACACAUUUUUUACAGCAUAUUUCAUCUUCAUAUUCCAAAGCAUUACACUAUUGUUCCCGAUUCCGAAACAUCAUAAGGAGAAACAAAAAAAAAAUGUAGAAAUAAACAUCUAUCUGGACAGAUAACAAAGUCAUCUUUCUAUUACUUUGAUAUAGACCGAGUUGGAAUGAUGAUGACCCAUUCUAUUUUGAAACUAAGAGAUUCAAGAAUAAUAUAAAUAUAAAUUAAGGAAGCCUAUUUCAAAUAUAAGUUGUACUUGAAGACCCUCAAUAGAGGAUAAAUUCAAGGUAUCAGAAUGCCAUCCGGAGAUGGUAGACUUUUAUAGGAAAUGAUAAAAGAAGAGAUUACUGGUGUCUAUCUCUCUUGGUUGGAAAAAUUGUAAACUUCUGAAUAAUACUAUCGUGAUCAACCUGAACAAUAUAUAAGAAGAGAUUCCACACUUUCAGAAGUUCAUAUACAGAUAUGGAUAACAUCCUUCAACACAAGCACAAUACAAACAAACAAAACUUCCAAAUCCAGAGUGCAGAUAGAUUGAGAAACCGAGCUUAUAUAAUAAAAAUAUAGCCUGAAUUAAUCCUCCAAUAUGUGGUAUAUUUGAACUGACAAGGAUGGGUGAUAUAUACACAAACAAAAACAUGUCUCAAAAAGAAAGAGAUGGUACUUACCUACUGGACCUUCUUCUGCUUGUUUGAUUGCAUAGGUAACUUCCUUAGGAUGCUCUCAUCAAGUUUCCUGUACUGUGUUUGUAUUGUUCUAUGUGCUAUGGACAGCUUAUCAUCAAUGUGGUGCUGAAACUUAUCAUACAACACGGGCACUGAAAGACUGAUUAGAACCCCUGCAUAGCAGUUCAAGAGACGUAGGUAUUAGUACAUAAUUUAGGUCUUGCACGAGUACGCACUUACAAAGAUACAUUGACCAGCAAAGAGCUUACCAACAUAGGCUAGAGUGAGGAAGUUGAAGAGACUUCCGAUGUAAGAUGCUACCCACAACAAAACAGAAACCUGCAGACCCGGAGCGAUAUCCAAACAGUAAAAUCAACUCCUCCAUUAUAUUCAAUCAACCACAUUCUAACCAUAAACCUAGUGGGAAGCAACUGCAACUAACCUGAAGAAAGAGCUUCAAAUUCCUGCCAAUAGCAAUGUCUCGCGCAACAGACAGUCCACGAUUAAUCCAAAAAUGCAUUGCAUCAGCAACCUUCACGACAGAUGCCUCGGAUAUUUCCAUAUCAGGAAGAGGAGGCAAUGGUCUGAUGACAGCAUAAGUUUAAUUACAUCAGCUUGCCUCAAAUAAUAUGGCAAUGCUAAAAUAGUAUAAUAACCAUAGACAAACUUUCCGAGAAUUACAUGUCUUCUAUCUCAGCUUGUGUUUGUUUACUUUUCUUAGCAAAAUAAUCAGUAAAACUUCCUCAAAACUUAAGUAAAUUGCCCCAAUACAGCAUUUUCCUGCUGAAAUUUGCAAGUGAUUCUAAUCUAAGCUAACAGAAUCCAUCUCUUCUACCUCAGCUUCUGUUUGAUAACUUUUCUUCGCAAAAUAUUCAGUAGAAUUUUUCCACAAUUAAGUAAAACAUCGAAAUAAACAUCUUCCUGGUGAAAAAUAGCAAGUGAUUCUAAUCUAAGCUAACAGAGCCUAGACAAUUUUAGCAACAUAACAAGCAUAGUAAAUAAGUAUAUACUAAGUAGCAGUCGGAGUCGGAAAGUACGUACCUAUUGAGAAGUGAAGCAGAUUUGGCCCAGAAGAAGAGAAUAACCACAAGAAGCAGUAGAACAUUGGCGCCAAAGGACAAGAGAUUGUAACCAGCUCGCUCGAAUAGGAUCCACGCCGCUGUUGAUGAGGUCAGCACUACGACUGUUGCACCCCAUUGCCUCCACAGCAGCACAUCAGCAACUAUAUCACAAUCCAAAUCCAAAUCAACUCCGACGACAUUUACAAUAACAAUCGCAAUCUCAUCCUAAUCAAUUCAACUACAGGCGAUCCAAAACCGUAUCGGAAUCCUAAAUGUAAUCAUCUAUACGAAAAUCAAAGUAUCUGUACAAAUCAAGCAUGAAAAACAGAGAGAGAGGGUACCGGCGCCGCCGCCGAGAGCUUGAUGGACGGAAAUGCGAUGCGGAGGCAUGGAAUCUCCCAUGGAGAUUAGGGUUUCAGAGAGAUGGAGACGAUAGAAAUUUUGAUGAGAAGAGAAUAUAAAUGUUUGAUUAAAUUUUGACCAGUCUGUUACUCUGUUAUCUCCGUCUCCUGCCAAAACUGCUCAACUCUCUCUCUCUAUCUGGGCAAUUUACCUUUGCCCUCUCCAAAAUUUAAUAGUAUAAUACUGUAACUCCCUCUUAUACAACGCCUUCGUUAUUCAUUACUGCGUAAAUGUAACCUUCUUUAUUCAUUAUUUAUUCGUAAAUACGUGUAUAACACUCUCUUUCUCAUUAGAAUACGUUAUACGUGUGUAACAUUUAUUAUACGUAGUCCCUCGUUUUGAUACAAUUUCCUUGUAAUAUCUCAUAUGAUGAGUUGCUGUCUAAUGCCCUCUUAAAUCAUUCAAAGUGUUGAUGUUCUAGUGUGUAUGGAGGAAAAAUUGAUUGUUAUGUUUGAUCGGAAUGUGUUCAUUUAUAUUUAUCAUUGUCAAUUGUUAUCAAGUAGAUGUAUAAUGAAAGAAAAGAUUAACCGUUCAUUUAAAAUAGGGAACAUGUCGUUACGACGCUUUUCUAAGAAGAGUACAUCACCUAACUAAGUAUGAGCAUAGAGACGCUUCUGUAAGAAGAGUAUAUUACCUAUCUAAGCAUUGAGCAUAGAGACGAUUGUAUCUCAUAAAACGAAGAUAUGCUAUAACUACGGCCAUUUGAUCAAACAUAGUCGAGAGUUUAAUUUUGUGUUUUGUACGUAGGGCUCAACAGUUGCAUACUGGCAUACUCUACUUGUACUGUAUGCAGCGUCCGUAGACAGUUACAGCAUUGUUUCAAAGGACACCAUGGAUACCAACUAGUAGAUGUAGUUGUUCCAUUUGAUAAGAAGCAUAGGCAAUUGAUGGAACUGCUAGCAAAAUAUAAAACCAGUUGAAUAUGAGAUUCAAAUUCCAUAUUUCCGGUCCUUUGGGGUGUUACAUCUCAGAUUUUACAAUAGUUGAUCUUAGGUCCAAACAUGGCAACUUCUAGACUCAGAAAAAUGAUUACCUGUGUUCCUCUACUUUAGAACCAAUGCUUCAAAACCUAAAACUUGGUUCAUUCCUUGUUCAGUCUGUAGCAUUACCAUCAGAGUUCUCGUCAUCGUCAGAGGAUUCUUCUUUCUGGUUAUUCUCUUCGCCGCCUGAAUUUGUUUUCAUUCUCUUCUCCUUCCUCUUCUGCUUCUUCUUUUGACGUUUCAAACGCUUCUUUGCUGUCCGCUCUUCAGCUGCUUUCAAUCUUUCCUCCCGUCUCAUGUUGAACUCUGCCUCUUCUUUCCUUUUCUGAUAGUCGACCUCCAUCCUAGCAAGCCUGUCUUGCUCUUUCCGUCUCAUCUGUCGAUACUGUAGAGCAGAAAAUAGGAGGUGAGCAAUCAUGUAUUAACAUUAACGGCAAGCUUACAGAGCAGAAAGUCAUAACCACUGAUCAUAUAUUCAUGCAUCACAAAUAUACUUUCUAUGUUCAGAUACAAAUAUAACGGUAUCAAUUAUCAGACCAAUAAGACUGAUUUAACGUCAAACCUAAAACCAUAUAGAAAGAGCAGUUUCUAUUAAAAAAAGAAAAAAAGAGCAGUUUUAGCUAGCACCUGGGCAUGGCUAGGUUCUAUUGCAGGACAGUUAUCUUUGCUUCAUGGGAAAUUUCAAAAGGUUGGUUUGAAGUAAAAUCUUGUCCCAAAGUUUUACCUCCAGAAAAGAAGAAAAAGCGUACAUUCCAAAUUCUAUAUAUCUAUUGCAUUCCGAAUUACCAUACAUUCCAAAGAGUAUAUUGAUCAGGAAUUCAAGAUAGAAGGAACUUCAUCCAUCCCUUAUGCAUACAACAACAAGAUAGAAGUUUCCACAGAGUGCUUUUAAAAUCAGGAAAUGUUCCACAAUCGAGGAGAUAAGACUCUACGCAUAAGCAGGAGACAAAAAGAGAGAUUCAUCUCUAAGAAAAACAAUUCUGCUAAUUGAAGGAACAGAGCUAUAUCUACAAAAAUCCACAAGCACAAGUGGUAGAUAUUGGACGACUCAUUCUCCACUACAGUUCACACACAUAAAAUGGUAGCAACCACACUUCAAACCCCUUUGGGCAACAUGUCCAGAUUUUCAUUCAUAGUAACAGUGUUCAAACUAAUGCAACAGUCAUAGAUAAUAGAAAAUCAAUUUUAGGAGAACCUCUAGUUAUCGCGCUAAUGACCUAGCAACUGUCCUUACUUUAAUUUCUAGCAUAAUCAUCAGAAACUGCACACAACACUGCAUGCUCAAUCCUGUAAUGAAAACACCCUAUGACCCUAAUAACUUAGAAGGCCCCAAAGUUCCAUCCAAUUCACUCUAUGCACUAAUGCAGGGACCGAAAAGCAGCUGUAUCCCUAGAUUCCAAUUACUUGAUUCAUGAAAUUCUUGUCGAAAACCGUAUAAAAAAGCCGAUGCCCCUUAACCAUAUUAUAAAGUUUUAUCCUCAGCUAAUCUAAAUUUAGUAACCAAAUUUCAUCACACAAGCAAAAGCAAUCAAAUUUGAAGCCCAAUAACUCUGGUAAUUUCGUAAAACUAAGCAUAAAUAUUUACCACACUCAGAAACGAAAUCACAGUCAAAACCGAGGCAGGGGAUCUGCGACACAUACCUGAUGAAAGUCACCGGAGCCAGAACCAGCGGAACUACCGGAAGUGUUGCUGACGCGGACGGGCACGUUCUCGAGUAUCCGCCGGAGCUUGAUCUCGAGAUCCUCUUCCUCCUCCUUGAACACCGGCGGCGUGUACUCCACGAUCGCCGUCGACGGCGGCGGUGGUGAUGGAGGCCUUGGCGGUUGCAUUAGCUUCCUCUCGCGCCGCGGCACCAUCUGCAAGUCGCCGUCUCUGGGAUUUCCGGAUGCCAUGAGUAACCCUAAUUUCUUGAUUGCUUCGCAAUUGAAACCCUAGUAUGUGGUUCUAGUUGGGAUUGUGAUAUCGAAAUUCUUGAGUGUGGUUUGGGAUUUGGAAAUUGGGGUUUGGGUUAGGGUUUUAAUUUAGCGCCACUCGAAGAGAGGGUUUUGGUUUCAGGAUGGGGGAAUUUAAAUGUCGAUUCUACGGAAAAAGAUGAUUGUUACUUGAUGGAUAUAUGGGUUACCGGGUUGGGCUGGUGAGACCCAAAAUUUUCUCUUUCAUUUUUAGAUUAUGAGUCCGAAUCGAGAACGAUUUUGUAAGAAGUGCUUUUUUAAAACGUGACUUCGAAAAAAUAAAUUCGUUGGAUUGGAAUGUAACGACUUAAUGAUACUAGCAUAAAGAACUCCAUCUCUAACACUUAGAAAGUUCAAGAGAAUGGUAGGAGCUCGCACACACAUGAACCGAUUAGGUCGUCCUCUAACCCAAAUACCUGAAAUAAGAGGCAUCUUUCCAAGGCAAUGAAACAUUUAGUUUUGUAGGCUAAACCAAUCAUAACAUUAUGUUGUUCUUGUUGUUAAUUAAAUAACCUGAGAAAGUGAAAAAUAUGUACACCCAUGAAGAAAUCUGACGUCUUCGACCUUUGAAUUUGCUUGUUUGAAUAUGAUUGUAGCCUUGCAGGUGUGCUAUUUUGUUAUAAUAUUAAUAUUACGCUACUUUAUGUUGAGGUUAACAUGAGUCACUUCAACUAAUGAGUAAGUAACUAAAACAAUCUAUAUAAGAUUGCCGUUAAAACUAGUGAAAAUGUAUUUUCCGAGUUUUAAAAGCAUUUUGUGAUUUUGUUUUCCUUUUCAAGAAUAUGCUACUAUACUGUUUUUUUCAUUUCGGGAAUAUUUUACUAUAUCUAUAGGAAACACUUUAAAGUACUUCGUACGAUGCAACUAAAGAUGAAUAUUGAUGGACCAUAUAGUCAUUGCAUUCUUUUUCUUUUUUCUUUUUUGAAUAAAUAGAUGGUGCGGCCGCCCUUAAACAUUCAUUGAUGAAACUGCAGAAUACAAAAGGGGGGAGGGGGAAACAUAAAACUUAAACCCUGAUUACAAAGUCCCGAAAUAAUAUCGAGAAACUCUAUACGGUACAUGUAUCCUAACAAACACCAACUAGCAAAAAGUACUACACUAAUAGCGACUCUAUUUGUUUUGUCACAGCGGUGACAUAAUGGAAAGAUCACUAGAAAUGUAACACGUUUACACAUCCUAAUGUCCAAUAAUGCAGCUUUCCUACUAUGUUGCCGCUGGAAAAUAAUCCCAACGACACUUAGUCUCAUCCUGCUACUAGGCUGCAACAACCAUUUAACAGAUCGUCGCCUACUUAGAGCAAUUGAGGCACACGACGUGCAUAGAUUGAGACCAAACUCAUUUAGUUCUACCCUAAAACUAAUAAUAAUAGAACAUAACAAAAAUAAAAACUAGAAAAAAUAAAACAUCUUGGACUCAGGGUGAAACCCCAGGCCCAAGAUACUUUAGGCUCAGAGCAAGCCCAAAGCUAGAUCUGGUCCAUGAUCCCAGCCCAAACCAGCUAUCGCACACACAACCAAACCACCACCACCGAGCCUACACGUCCGUCGCGCAACCGCCGCCGUCUCAAUCAAGUCCCGACCAUCGUCAAAACUCCAUCGCCGACUGGGCCUUGUCGCCACAAACGCAGAACCACAACCCCUAACCUCCAGAACCCACGAGGAAAAUCUUCAUCUUCCUCUGCAACAAUAACCGAUAUCGGUCUCCGAUCUAACAAUGAGAUUGCAGCGCGAUCCAAAAGGAUCCAACCACAAACCCACACCCCAGAUCGUGCCUCACCGAUACUUGUAACAAGUUCCGAUCAGAAAUUCCUGCAAAUCUCUGUUUGUGUCGACACUGUAUUCGCCAAAAACCAUGAAACCAAAACUUUUAUCAGCCUUGACCAACCACCUGGGCAUGCUCCUAAACUUGCAUCUCGUCCGGCCGCCCUCUGGCGACGACUACGAGGCCAGAGGCCAGCGUGAGUGCUACCGUGCAACCGGACGAGAAUAGGGAAAAUAUCGACGGAGAUAGUCUUAGGGUUGAGCGCGUGUGGCGCAUUCUAGAGCUAAACAAUAUUGAUGUUUUUAAAGUCAUUGCAUUCUUAAAAAAGACAAAAUUACCGAAACCCACAACUUAACUUAAAAUACAGUCUACACAUGUCAAGCUGCAGUUUUGCACCAAUUACCCAAGUGGUGAUAAUGAUGACCUUCUAACUUUGUUAUAGUUUGCUUGCAUUAUUCAUGAAUCCGGAUUCUCUCCUCAUGAGAGUGUCCUCAUAUCUCCUCAUAAGCUAAUCCUGGCCUUUCAUUUUCCACCAAAGGCCAAGAUCUCUCCUAAUCAACUUUUUGCACGUGCACUAACUCUUCCUAACUCAGUCCCUCUCUUCCUCACUCUCUCAUUCAUCUUCGAACCCGGGAAAAACUACAUCUCAUCGCCAAAACCAAAACCCUGUCGCCUCCCUUCGCCGGUCAACCGCCAGCGACGGCUUCCUCCGCCGCGCGGCGUCGGCCCUCCCUCUUCUCCGGCGUCCUUUGCAUCGACCGCGAACCCAGGUAGAAACCAGAUCAACGGCUUGUGCAUCGAUCGUCCCAUCUUCUCCGGCGUCGACCACUUCCUCCGCCGUGGCUUCGGCCCUCCCUCUUCUCCGGCGGCUCUGAACCUCCCUUACUCGACGGCUUGAUCCUUCUUGGCGCAGUGAGUUGAUGAAUUGCAAAUGUAGAUUAGUUCUCAAGUUUUAUUUUUAUUUGUUGGGUUCUGUUUCAUAGAUGGAUUCCUUAGCACUUCUAAACUUUGUGAUUGUUAAAUAGGUUUUGAGAAUGGAAGACAUUGUGGAAGAAAACAAUGAUAGUUUGGAGCGAUCAAAAGAAGACUUGAAACCUAAAUUUUUUAUGGAGUUUGAUUCUGAGACUGCUGCAUAUGACUUUUAUAACGAAUAUGCACGUAGUGAAGGUUUUAGCAUUAGAAGAAAUGGUUAUGCUGCAGAUAAAAAUGGUGUACUCACUUCAAGAACAUUUGUUUGCUGUAAGGAAGGUUUGCGGAAGGUGGAUAAGAGAGACGAUUUGACGAGAAAUCCAAGAGGAGAGACAAGGACUAAUUGUGGAGCGAUUAUGGGGAUUAAGUUGGUCAGGCGUACAUGCAAGUACUCUGUUUAUCGUUUCUCUGAAGAGCACAACCAUCCUCUUAUCAGCCAAGACUCUGUCCAUUUGAUGCCAUCUCAUCGAAAAAUCACAUCUUUAGAUGAAGCCUUUUUAGACUUGACAGCAAAUUCAGGUCUUUCGCCGAAGUCUGCAUUUGAAUUAAUGGGUCAGCAAGCAGGUGGUAGAGAGUCAUUGGGAUUUACAAAGGUAGACCAAAAGAAUUACCUUCGAACUGUUCGACAGAAAAAAAUGAAAUUUGGAGAAGCUGGUUAUUUGAUAGAAUAUUUUUCAAAGCAAAUGUUGGAAAAUCCUUCGUUCUUCUAUGAGAUGCAGUUGGACUCUGAGGAACAGAUUACCAAUGUUUUUUGGGCUGAUGCUAAAAUGAUAAUGGAUUGUGGUAUAUUUGGUGAUGUGGUAAGUUUUGAUACAACUUACAAACUUAAUGAAGCAAAUCGACUAUUUGCGGUGUUUGUUGGAUUAAAUCACCAUAGACAGACGGUUAUUUUUGGAGCUGCUUUAAUGUACGACGAGACCGCAGCAUCCUUUAUAUGGUUGUUUGAAACCUUUUUAAAGGCAAUGUGCGGGAAGCCUCCACAAACCUUUUUCACGGAUCAAGAUGCAGCGAUAGCUAAGGCUGUAUUACAUGUGAUGUCAGGUGCUUACCAUCAACUUUGCAUACGACAUUUCUUUUUUUAAUGUAUACGGCAUAUUAUUAUUAUUAUUUUUUUUUGUAUAUGCCAGGUACUUACCAUCGACUUUGUAUAUGGCAUUUAAUGCAAAAUGCUGUAAAGAAAGUAGGCUUCUUAUUCCGAGACCACGACGAAGAAGAUGAAAGUAAUGUGUUCAACAAAUUUCUUUAUCAAAUUGAGGAAGAGGAUGAGUUCCUAAGUGCUUGGGAGUCUAUGCUUGAUGAGUACGAAGCACAUGAUGAUACUUGGUUGGCUGCGACAUUUGAAAUAAGAAAAAAAUGGGUGCAUGCAUAUAUGAAGUGGACAUGGUCAGCAGGAAUGCAAACUACACAACUGAGUGAAAGCUUUAAUGCUAGUUUGAAGGGGUAUUUGAAAUCAGACCUCCAAUUGCCUGAGUUUUUUACUCACUUUCUAAGAAUGGUAUAUGAUAAGCGGUAUAAGGAGUUAGAAGCUGAGUAUGAUUUGCUGUUCCAGAUUAUUCACUGUAAAAUGGAGGUCAGUAUCUUGCUACAUGCACGAGAAGUGUAUACCAAAGCCACAUUUAAGGUCUUUCAAGCUCAGUUUGAGGACUCUUUAAAGUUUUCCAUAACGAAAUGUGUGUCCAAUGAUGAAAAGUUUAUCUUCACUGUCGUUAGGGAUGGGUUCUUUAAGGAGAGGCUAGUAAAAAGAGAAGGUCAAUUUACAGUAUCUUGCAGCUGUAGGAUGUUUGAAACUGUAGGUGUCUUGUGUAGGCAUUGUAUCAAAGUGAUGACAGAAGGCAGAGAAACUACACUGAUAAAAAAGAUACCUGAGCAAUAUGUCUUAGAGAGGUGGACAAAAAAUGCAAGAGUUGAUAAUGUUGUGCAAGACAUGCAUGGGCAGGAGAUUGUAGAGAAUCCAAAGCUAAAACAAACUUCUCGAUAUAGAAGUUUAUGUUCAAAAUUUGUUCGACUUACAUCAAGAGCAUCUGAGAGUGAGAAGACAUAUGAGGCAGUAGAUAUGGAAGCUGAUAAUUUAGUAAAGUUGGUUGAAAAUAUGUUACGUGUAGAAAUAAAUGGUGAUAAAGAGGUGGAAGAUGAAGCCCCAAAUGUCUUGGUUGAUUGCUCUAAUGAUGUAACCGCUGUGAAUGCAAAGGGAUUCAAAAAGAGAGAAGCUACACAUCGUGGAAAACGCCGAGCAAAGGGAGGUUUUGAAGCUCAAUUAAGCAAAAACAAAAAGAAGCCUGCACAGGUCUUAUAUUUAACUUUAAUUGAAGUCAUUAAUUUACUUCUUGUUGAAUAUAUCCAUUAUUGAAGUCUAUACAAUGAUAGGUAUCUAAAGUUCCAAAACAUUGUGAUGCAAUGGACCAAUCUCAUGUACCUUCUUCACAACAAUCUCAGGUACAUCAUGGAGUUUCAAAACAAUGUUUUACAUUGAAAAUGUUGAUAUACUGAUCUUAUGAGUAGGAUGAGUUUUUGUUAUAGUUCAUGUGUGGUCGCACCAAGAUUAUAUAAAAUAACCUUUAGUUAUUGAUAUUGCAAUAGGUCAGUGGGAUUUUAAACAAUACCUCUGGCAUAGAGUUAUGUGGUCAAACUUCAUUACCUCUCAACAAUUCAUCUCAGGUAUAUUUUCACUAGUGUAUAAUGAGUUUUCAAACAACUGUAGUGUUAUAUGAUUCAUUACUAUCACUUACAGGUACCUAUGCACUCUCCUAUGAUGGGUGGUAAUGGUAGAUACAUGCCAAUACUCUUACAUCCAUAUAACGUGAGUGUGUGUUUGUUAUAAAUAUAUGAUUUUCUUUUUUGCUAUAUGUUUAUAUUACUGGUAUUUUGACAGAUACAUGGGCAUCAAUUGAAUAUGUCAAACCAAAUGACUUGGAUGCCUUAUCAAGAAUUCCCUAGGCCAAUUUCACAAGAAUUUGAUCAAUCAAAUAUCAUGGGAUUUUCAUUUGCACAAGACCCAGAAAAAUCAAAUUAUGAGGAAAACUAGGGCAUGGGUAUAUUGGCAGAUAUGUAGUGCAGGGAUAGUUUUGUACUGCAGGGAUAUAUUGGCAGAUUAGUAGGUAGUUUUGUUGUGCAUGGACACUUUUGUUGUGCAGGGACAUUGGCAGACUAGUGGGUAGUUUUGUAGUGCAGGGACAUACAUUGGCACAUUGGCAGAUAUGUAGUGCAAGGACACUUUUGUAGUGUAGGGACGUACAUAGGAUAUGUAGUGCAAGGACAUUUUUGUAGUGCAGGGACAGACACUUUUGAUCCACUACUUGUACUCCAAAAACGUCUACAUGUAUAUUUAUUUAUAUUUGAUCUGAUAUGGAAUGAAAGUUGUUCAGUUGAUCUCAGCUCCCUUUAUGUAUGUUUUUAAUUCUUUUCUGUCAUGUUUUUCAGCUUUUCCAUGGAGAUUCUUUUUCUCUUCAUUGAUGUAGUGUUGAUAUAAACACCAAAUAUGGAUAAGGCAAUGUAGGUAUAUCAACGGCUUGGUGCAAAACCUCUUUGAGGGAAAUAGCACCAAGCAAGAUUACUUCACUAAUCUUGAAUUAGAGUUUACAACAAGAGUUCUUAACACAACUACCUAAAGACCUUGAACAACAAUUUCCCUUAAUACACUUUUCCAAUCUCAUACACGACGAGCAUCUGUACAUUUUUUAAGAUGCUUCUCUACUACCUCUAAUUUCCAUAACUCAGCCGCAUCAUGCUGCAGCCCUGGAAAACAAAGAUGCCUCCUGGCAGCCAUAACAAUGAAUUACAGAUGAUUAGAUUGGAAAUUUUUUUUCAUAUAGCAACUAAAAUUAUACAGCAAUCGAAUCAACACAAAACAACAAAACAUUGAAAAUACCAAGACUUCUAUGCAAAUACAGCAUAAUGUAAUACAGGAGUAUACAGUAAACUAGACUAAAACAAGCACACCAUCACAAACACCGCGCCGGAGAAGAGGGAGGGCCGAAGCCACGGCGGAGGAAGCGGUCGUCGCCGGAGAAGAUGGGACGAUCGAUGCACAAGCUGUCGAUCUGGUUUCUACCUAAGUUCGUGAUUGAUGCAAAGGACGCCGGAGAAGAGGGAGGGCCGACGCCGCGCGGCGGAGGAAGCCGCUGCUGGCGGUUGACCGGCAGAGGGAGGCAACAGGGUUUUGGUUUUGGCGAUGAGAUGUAGUUUUUCCCAGGUUCGAAGACGAAUGAGAGAGUGAGGAAGAGAGGGACUGAGUUAGGAAGAGUUAGUGCACGUGCAAAAAGUUGAUUAGGAGAGAUCUUGGCCUUUGGUAGAAAAUGAAAGGCCAGGAUUAGCUUAUGAGGAGAUAUGAGGACACUCUCAAGGAGAGAAUCCGGAUUCAUUAUUCAUAUACUAAUGACCUCCACUAUAUAUAGUGUGGAACGAAUAGUGCCUGAUUACUGGUAAAGUAGCAGAGGGGAUUCUACGGCUUGUAUUGUUGUAUGAAUGAUUUGACUUGAAUUCCAGGCAAAGAAAACAUGCAACUUACAUACAAGGACAUGAGGUCUUCGUAUUAAUUUCUCUUGUUCUUUUUUCUUUCUAAGAAAAAAUAAUCACUCAUACAUGAAAACAGUGUGAACAAGCAAAAACUAAGCUCUCAAUAAGUGUACCCAUCUUCCUCUAUACCAAAAGGAAGAAAGAGAAUAUUGCUCAGACCCUGCAGACUUUUUUCCUGAUGGCUUUGGAUCUAGUUGAACCUAAACAAUGCAGCAGAGAUUUAACCUUUCCUUCUUCCCCUUUCAUCUUCUCGCAUAUCAAUGGAAUAUAGCAGAGAUAAAAUAACAAACCUAGCUACGCUAAACUCUGAUCACAUUUCCCUUUUAUAGGUGCAAUAAUACUCGAUCAAACCCAGAGCCAAGGGCAAGCUUUAGCUUCCCUUUUCUUGAUCACAACUGUUGGGGGGAGCAGAAAGACAGAACCUCCAUUAUUUAACAGUAAAGGAAACCUCCCCGACUCUUCCUAUCUCACGUGCUAAUCGUUUUUUAAGUGUGGAAAAAAAAAACCCUAGAAUUAUAAACCUAAUAUAAGGCUGAACUGCAUGGCCAUAAUCCGAUGCGAAUAUAAAUAAACCGGGAGAUCGAGAACUAACAUGAUUCUGCAAGAAGGAUUAUUGUGUUCAAAACUGCUUCAACGGUCACCGAAACUCUGUCGUGUGGAUGAUAUAAAAAUGGAGGAUUUGGAUUUUGGGGAGGUAGAAAUAUCUGGUAUAUUGUGGUGGAUAAUGAAUGCGAUCAUGUGAAGUGCCUGGGAAAAGCAGCAUUCAUAUAUUGUUGAUGAUGCACUCUACCUCUCAAACGAAACAUCCUCGACUGUCCAUAAUCACAUGUCCUGGUUCUUGAUUUGAUCGAAAACAAAAACAAAGAUAUCCCAUUUACAAGUUUGUUUUGAAGAAUUAAUUAGGCACGUAAGUUGGUAAGUUGGCUAAUAAUGUUUCGAUACGUUUGAAAAUAAACGUAAAACUUAAUAUUACUUAUUUGGUUUACAAAAAUUAAAAUAAUCAAUUGUUAACGAGAAAAAAGACAAGAUCGUAUUAGUCAUAAAUUCGAUCUAAAUAACAAUAGCUUAACUUAAUGAGAUCGUCUGACUAAGUUCAAUGUUAUGAGGAACUACAAACUUGUUCCAUAAAUUAAAUCACGCACCUUGCAAAAUCAUAGGUACAACUUGUUGCCAUCGAUAUAUAUAUACCUAUUGAGAUGACCUUGUCUUGGUCUUUAACCACCUUGAGCUGCGAACAACACUUGAACAAAGGUAGUAGAAUCCCCCUUGGCUAGUAGGCUUGCACUUUCAAAAUUUUUGUUGAUACGCAUGUGCCACAUAACCUUAGAAGACAUCUUAAUUAGAUACGUACAUAGAGAUGAUUCAUUGUGUACACUUAUAUACAGAUUCAUUAUCUCAAAAUUAUGCAAUAUCUAUAUUUCCUUUAUGGUAUCGACAUAUUAGACUCUCAAUAUGACAUCUUACCGUGCUAAACUAAUCAAAAUCGGGGCUAAAUUCUAUGAAUUUGAUAUGUGUUGUCAAAAUCUAAAUUCAUAGCACAUCUGAUUGUUACUUAGUUAGUGGUCUCAAUUAGUAAUGUGGUGACUUAAUAUUUCAAACUAUGAACUAUGAAUAUGAAUAUACAGAAAACAAGUUUGGAUCAAUAUAUAGAAAAUUAUUCAAAAUUAUAGGUAUAUAUGAAACGGAUUGAGUUAUGACUUAUUCAACACUAAAACUUACUGUUAUUUUUUGUUUCUCUAGAUGAUAUACGUUUUUAACGUAAUUUUCUCUAUUUAUUUAUACAUUAUCAAGUGUCUAAAUAAACCAAAUAAAAUAUCGUCCAUAAUUUUCAUUAGAAAACUACUACUUAUGUACCAAACCCAAAGUCGUUAGGUAUAGCAGAAUCAACAGAAAUCCGGUACUGGUCCAUCCUUGAUCCUGUCUUGUUCUAGUUAAUCCCUUAUUAAUCUAAUUAACCUCUCAAAAUUCAAAUUUAAAAAUCCCAUCCACAGGCUGCGACGUCGUUUUCAUCCCCACCAGUGCCUGUCGGAGGUGACCGCCUCCUGUCGGUGGUCUACUACGGCCGUUGGUACAUCACAGUACUAGCCGCGCGCGCCAGGUAUACAGGCUGGACUGCCAACCUGUCAGUCUCGACCCGAUUUCCCAUUCCGCGACCGUUUUUGUCGUUUUGCGCCACAUCAGCAAUUUCCAAUAAAACAAUUAAAAACAAAUUUAAAUAAAAAAGGAAACCCAACCGAACCCAAAAAUCUUAAAAUGCUCUCCAGCCUGGCUCAGUCAAACUUAUCCUCUCAACUGCCUACAGAAGGCUACGACCCGUCCGGCCGUCCCCCCAAAUUAUCGCGAUAUUUUCAAACGAUUAACUUCCCUCUUCAGCAGUAACUUCCAUAACGGCACCUGUCAAAACUGGAAACUAAUGAAACUAACCCUUAACCGUCCACUCGAGAAAUUCAUAUUACCGUUUUACCCCCGGCCCGAGAUUUUUGUGGAAGGAUGAUGAUUAUUCUCUCCCAUCAGCAAUCUAUGUGUCCUACGUGGCAACGCGUGGUGGUUAAUACAGCUGUAGAGUGAUGUAACGGGUAACGCUCAAGGGCAGUAACCGGUUGCCGUGACGCUUAAACCCGAUUCGGUUGACCGGCUCCGCCAGUUACCCUAAUCCCACCUUAUAUAAACCCCUCCUCUCCCACUCGUCUCUGACCUCCAAACCUCUCUCAGAAAAAACUCAGAAAGGCCGAGACUCUCUCUCGCCGCCUCUUAAAUUUUGUAGAAUAUAUUAUCCUCUUUUGUAUCCUAAAUCUAGGGUUAGGGUUUAGGGUUAUGGAUUGCGAAUCGGUUCAGCAGAGGGAGUUGGAUCGGGUCAAGGGGCCGUGGAGCCCCGAAGAGGACGACCUGCUGAGGAAGCUGGUGCAGCGGCACGGCGCUCGGAACUGGACUCUGAUAAGCAAGUCGAUCCCGGGAAGGUCCGGGAAGUCGUGCCGGCUCCGGUGGUGCAAUCAGCUCUCACCGGAGGUGGAGCACCGGGCGUUCACGGCGGAGGAGGACGAGAUCAUCGCGGCGGCGCAUUCGAAAUACGGCAACAAGUGGGCCACCAUAGCCAGGCUCCUCAACGGCCGGACGGACAAUGCGAUCAAGAACCACUGGAACUCUACUCUGAAGCGGAAGUACUCGUCCAUGGCGGAAGACGGCGGCGGCGGCGGCGUGGAGGAGAAUCAGUACCACAUCCUCAGGCCGGAGAAGAAAUCGGCGACGGCUUCGGUUUCGGGCCGCGGUUACAGUCCGACGAGCCCAUCCGGAUCCGACGUCAGCGACUCCGGCGUGGCGCCGGCUGUUACGUCGGCGCAGGUGUUCUGGCCGAUGGCGAGAGCAGUGAUGAGAACCGAGUCGCCGCCGCCGAGGAAUGAACCGGAGCCGUCGACUCUUCUGACUCUGUCCUUACCUGGAGGUUCCGAGGUGGCGACUCGCCGAGAAGAGAAAACGACGUCGUUAUGUUUAACGACGUCGUUAGAUGAGAAUCAGAACAGAACGAUGUCGUUUGGGCCGGAGUUCAUGUCUUUGAUGCAGGAGAUGGUUAGGAAGGAGGUUAGGAACUACAUGGACGAUAAGCACCUUGGUAUACCCAAGCUCUCGUAAUCCAAAAAAAAAAAAAAAAAACUAAUUACACAGUUUUAUUUUUAUUUUUUCAAAUUAGAAUUCAAGAAAAUCAGAAUUAGCGAAACACAGUUUUUUUUCUUUUGUUCGGGAAUGAAAUAAUUAUGAGAGAAUGUACAGGCGGCCUGAGAAGAAGAAGAGCUCAGUGCUCAGUUAAGAAAUUUAUUUCAGUUUUUAUUUUUGUUUUUAAAUUGUGUUGGACCAAAUUCGAAAUCAGAUUCUAUGUUUGGUUUAAAUUUUGGCUGUUUAUAGUUGUUAAUGCGAUACAGUUGGGUGUGUUCGAUAUUGACAGUGGCACUUAAAAUGCCAGAUCUAACUGAAUUGGGUACAUUAAAAACGGGUAUCUGGAAAUAAAGAAAAGAAAAAGAAAAGGCUGAAAAUAAAGAGAAGGAAAUCGUUGCGUUGUUUUCCUUAUUUGGUACGGUGGGUUGUACUGGGUUGAUGGGUACAGAUUUUGGACGGAUAAAGCGUGGUGUUUGGUGGGAUUUUUGACUUUUGACUUUUUGAUUCUGUAUUAUCUCUGCUCGUGUGUAUUUGUAUAUUAGUUUUGUAGAGAUACGGUACUGACAGAGGCACCUACGUAGCUGGAGUGGUACUGGCUAUCGGAGUAUACCGUACAGUCGUCAACAAACUUUUUUGGGUGCAGCUAUUGCCACCCCACAAACUACUUUGCUCACCCUACAAGAUGUUGAUUUAUUGAAAGACCUAAUUACCCUGAUAUAAAAUUAUCAUUGUUGCAACACAUUGUUGCAAAGUACACAUUUUUUCCUUAUCAUUUUUGUUUUACAAACGACAUUCUUGGAACUAAAUCUUUUCAUAAAGCCCUAAAAAAAUUUCUCUGUACAAUUUAUCGUCUUCAAUCGUGUCUAUUGAGUCUGGAAACACCUUACAGCCAAAAAAUUUCUUUAUUGUUUUGUUUUUUCUUGUUCUUUAAUUUGGUAUACAUUAAUGUGAAUUUUUUUUUGUUCAGUUGAUGAUUUUAUUUUCCUUGAACUUAUACUUUCAGAGCAAAGGAUAUUAAUGUUAUGGUUUUCUUUAACUUCUUUUUCUUUUUGGAGUUUGAUGACUUUUGGAAGAGUCUGAUAUUGUGAGUAUUGCAAAUCAGUGAAUAAAGUAAAUUUAAAAUUUAAAAUUUUAAAAAAUAUAUAAUCACCAAAUCUGAAAUUCAGAAAAUAUGUGUAGGGUGAACAAAACAUAAUUGAAAAAAGGUAUUUCAGGUAUUGAAAAUGGGUGAACAAAAUAGACUUAAAAUUAAAAAUAUAUAAAUGGAGUGUAAAGAGAAUGUGGUGUGAGCAAAAAUAGUUUGUGGGGUGGCAAUAGUUGCACCCUUUUUAAAAAAAAAAAAGAAAAGCAAGUAACAAAUUAGUUAUUGACCAAAUUUGACUUUACAAUUAGGUCCAUUAAAGAUGUUUCCACAAAUAAGGACAAAAUUUUACAAUUAAAGACAAAUUAUACUGUUGACUAAAACAAAGUCAACUGGAUUAUGAAGAGAAUGUGUCAGCUACAGAGUUACAAUUAAAGCAAACCACAUAUACCUCUCCAAACAGAUUUGAAACACAAAAACAUCCAUUUACAAUUUUUAAACAAAUAAAUACAUUUUUUAACAAAUAAGAACAAAUUUUUCUCAACCUGCCAUGUGUUAUGGGAUAGUUUUACCAAUCUAACCAUGCAUAACUUAAACAAGUCCUCUUGUAUUCAGACCCUGUCGUACUGGAUGUAAGCUCCUAUUUAGUGAAACCGCUCUACUGAGGGUAAACUAUGCUACUGCUGUUACAUAAUGUCUCUGCUACUACUCUAACUGAAGUUUAUGCUACUGCUCUUACUGAAGGUCUGUGCUACUGCUCUACUGAAGGUAAGCUCUACUGUUGUUACUGAAGGUCUGUGCUACUACAGAAGUGCGCGUCAAGUUCUACUACUCCACUUGUUAUACUCAUCAUCUUCCAAUUGUGCUACUGCAUUUACCUUGGAGUGCAUAAAAAUAAAGAGAUUUUGCGAUGAGUAAUCAUGUUUUGCUACUGGAUAUAAUAGAGAUGAGGUAUAAUUGCUGCCAUAUAAUAUAAGAACGUACAAACAUCUUAAUUAAACCCCAACCCACCCUUAUGCUCUUUUCAAUAUACAAUAUACAACCCCAGCAUCGUAAAGUCUAAGACAAGACCAGCAUGAUCUUUUACAAUAAGAGCUAGAACAAAAACCAAAUAACCACUUCAAAAUCAACAAAGUUUCAAUCUAAAGGUUGUUUGUCCCAUCUCAGAAUCCUACAUGCUAAGACUGUACAUGAAAAUAUUCUAAAUAAAUACAGUAGCAAUAUUGUAGUAGCAGUAAACCCUUAUACCAGAUUCAAACAGAAAUCAAAUUCAAUUGGAAGAAACAGUAACACGAGGCCUGUUGACGAUAAGCUCUAUAGAAUCUAGUUUCAACUCCAUAUACACGUGCCCAAAGACACCAGACCCAAUUAACUCGCCCUUGCGCCACCGAAUUGGCGGUGCAUCGUCUACCAAGAGCGACAGAAGUUCAGCGAAAAGUCUAGAAAUCAAGGUUUCACGAACCAAGCCACGAGGCCUUGCGCGCAUCGGAGGUGGUGGUUCAUUUUCCGGCGGGGUGGUGGUGUAAGGGAGGGUAGCGUUAGAUGUCGACGUAGAGGGAGAGAGAGAGGAGGAGAGAUUGUGCGAUUAGGAUAUUGAGGUUCAUCCACUCAGUGACCCAGUGACAGUCAUGUAAUUUUUAUAAAGUAGACAGUUUUUUCUUCAUUUGUCUUACGAGAAUAGAGUUCAAGUCUGUUUCAUGUUGUGGUGGGUCUAAGCUUUAAACAAGUGGGUUUUUUGUGUUUAGUAUUAUUUGCUGUGACUUGUUUGUCAUUUUCUCUUAUAAUUAUACCAUUCAUUAAAACUAAAACAAAGUCUACUGGACUAUCAACAGAGUCACAAUUUAGAAACGAGCUACUUCAACUAUUAAUCCGUCUGCUACUGCCGACUUCUACUACCAAUCUGCCUCCUACUGGCUACUUCCAUUACCAAUUUGUCUGCUACUACCGACUUCUACUACCAAUUUGCCUGCUACUGCCUAUGUUUGGUUUCUCAUUCCAUUCUGCUACUGCCUAUGUUUGUUACUCAUUCCAUUCUACUACUGUCUACUUCCACUACCAAUUCCUCUGCUACUGUCUAUGUUUGCUACUCAUUCCAAACUGCUACUGCCUACUUCUACUACCAAUUUGUCUGCUGCUGCCUACUGUUACUCAGCCCAUUGAGUUGAUGCCUCAACCUGCCUCCAUUUUCAAUGAUUUGUUUUCGUCUGAUCUCAACCCAAACAUAUACUCAGACGCUCAAAGCAAGGAAACAACCAGUCUCUAACAUGAAUUACCGCCAGCGUGGAUCCCACAUCCUCCGCUGCAGCCUUAAACCCGACAUUUUUUCUUGCUUCGUACCUUCCCGGGAAACCUUCUGCUACUAACCUUUUUGUUUACAAUUGUAAGAUCCAUCAAGAUUUAGGGUUUUGAAUCAUCACAUUUGAUCUAAAAUCAGUGAAUAAUUGAAUUGAAAUUCUGAAUCACCUUCCUCUUCGACGGCGUCGAGUGCUUAUGUCAUCGGCCUCAGAUCAGGUGGCCCUAGUAGCAGAUUGCAUAUUGACGGCGAUGGAGGACUGAGCAAUAUGUACAGUGAUCGGAUCAGAGGACGACCGAAACGGAUCGAAGGAGCCGUGGUCGUCGAGGCAGAGGAGGCAUCGUUGUCGAGCCUCAAGCAUCGUCGAUGUUGAGGAGUCAGCCGUCGUCGCCGACGCCGACGAGCGUCGUCCGUCGUCAAUAGGCGCUGCUGUCGGGCGCCAUCGUCGACGAGCGUUGUCCUUCGUCGAUGGGUGUUGCUGACAAGCGUCGACGGGCGUUCCCGUUAAGCGUAUGGCUGCUGCGGUGGUAUGAGAGAGAGAGCCUAGGGUAUUUGAGUAAUUUCGUUUAACAUGUUAGAGUUUGGCCUGAGAUCAUUCUUCUUGGGCCUGUGUUCUUUUUUGUUCAAAAAUUAUUAUAAGUAGGUUUUUUGUGUUUUUAAAUUUGGUAUGUUCUUUAUAUAUAAUUAUCGCAAAAAAAAAAAAAAAACUAGUUUAAAUGUGUCCAACACAAGAGGUCUAGAUUCGAGGUCAAAGAAGAGGUACACUAAUAUGGACGUUGUAUUUUGAUCGGAUCGAAAAUGAAAUGAAACGAAGGUCUCUAGUCUUUAUUCUAUCUUUGUUUUUUAUGAUAAAAGAAAGUACAACAAAAAACUACAACGAAAAACCUUGACGACAACCGCCCCCAAAAAGAUCAAGGUCGAAGGCAGAGGUCGAGGAAAGAGGAAGAGAAGAAAACCAUACAUAAGGAUUAGGAGAAUUAUGUCCUAGUUUAGCCAGACUAUCAGCAAAAAAAUUAACUUCCCGCCAGACAUGUCGAAAAGAGACCGAAGCAAAGUGGCAUGAAAGGGUGCGAAUACCUUGGACGAUCCGUUUGAGUCGUCACGGAACUUGAGUUCUGCCAUUAAGCGCAUCUAAAAAGAGUUUAGAAUUCCCUUCAAUAAUUAAGGCUUGAUUAGUAUGCUGAGUGAGAAGAUGAAGACCAUCUCGAAGCGCAACAGCCUCAGCAAGUAAAAUAUCCAAAUGUCCCAGGUUUCGACAUGUAGCUAGCACAUGAAGUCCAUCCGAAUUGCGAACCACAAAACCAGCAGCAGCUCGAGAUUGAGGCAGCAUUGAACCAUCAAAAUUGGCUUUAAGUAUAGAAGGAGGGGGUGCCUCCCACUUAAUAGCAGUAACAGUAGAAGAAGGAGUAGUAACAGGGGAAGUAGAAGGAUUAGCCUCUUGAUAAAGCGCAAGCUGCUUAGCAGCACCAAAAGCAAUUUGGGCAGAGGAAUCAUUUUGAGUCUUUAUUCUAUCUUCACAAACCACAAUUUGAACAUUUUUACAUUAAUGGCGCAAGUGCAUCAUGGUGCACUGAAGACUCUCCGAAAUGUGAGUAAUAAAAGCGACAUAACUAGAUCCGGAUUUUAUGCUUGGAUUUGUUUGGAUGAGUGUUUUUUUUACGUGUGUGAAGAAGAGAGCAGUUGCAGCUAUGGUGUAAUUGGGUGACCAAUUUGCCGAUUUCAGCAUUUUUUCAAUGCACCAGGGCAAUAUUGCUCGACUGAUUUAUGGGGUCAUCAUAAACAGUAAUUGCUUAGGCAAUUCGCUUGCUGAAAUGGAGCCCACAUACACAUGGCUGCUUUAUACAACAAAAACUUAAUUGUAGCCAUGGGUUGAAAUCUAACGGUUCUAAUUAAAUACUAUGAUGUAUGAAUAGUGGAUUAGCAGGCAAAUUGCCUUCAAUUGGUGCAUUGUCUAAGGACUAGCAAUUGCCUAUUUAAGAUGAAUAGUGCAUUAGGAGUACCAAUUUAAGGGCAAGAAAGAGCGUAUUUACAGACCAUUUAGAUCAAGGACUGAACAGAUGUAGACUUCAAACCUUAAGGACUAUACAAUAUUUAACCCAAAAAUUAAAUUAACCAAUAAUGACAAGGAUUAUUUAAACCCUAAAACCACAAGUACUGAACAGAUGUCGACUUCAAAUCUCAAGGACUACAAUAUUUAACCCAAACAUUAAAUUAACUAAAAAAGAUCAUCUCUACGAAAUUUAAUAGAAACAAAAAUCGUUUUUGCUUGGUCGAUUGGAUCAAGUUAUAUACUUAAUUUCAAUUAACUUCUUCUGAAAAGCAAGGCGAGGAACAGAGAAUAGAUAGUGUAUAAACAAAUAGAUGUGGAAAUAAUUUUACCAUACCAUUUGAACUUCAUCAUAUCAAUUAGUCCACACCCAUACAAACCAUUGUUCAUCACAAUAGACAAUGAAAGAAGUGCAAAAGUAACCUGCAUAUACUCGUAAAAGGAAAUGCAGUGUUUAACAAUGGUACAUAUACACAAAGAAUGCAUCCUUGUAUAUUAUAGUUGCAUAUCAUGAGUACCAAAAAAUAGUUACACCUGAAUCUCAGUAAGGCAUCAAAAUUUUCUUUAUUGCCAACUAACAUAUGAUAGCAGCAAGGUCUUAAAUCUUGCUGUUCAAGGACCAUUACAAAAAAAAAUAAAAAUGACAGGAAGCUUAAAAAAAGAGAGACCAAAAGUUGCACUGCUAUUGACCCUUGCUUUGUUUUAGAUUUGUCCUUGCUUCCUUCGCCCCUGUUAAAUUGAGCAACACAGAAUUAUUGAAGGAUAAAUACUGAUAGGGCUAAAAUAGCCUCUCAAUUAACCCUUUAUGUAGUUGUAGUAUCGUUCGGAAGCAAGGGAUCGUUCAUUGGUCAAGAUCGAGGGUAUUUAAUUUUGCACACACAAAAACAAUGUCACAAAAGUGUCUACUGUCCCCAAUUAACAGUAGACAAAAAUCUACUUAACUAACUAACCUAAACUACUCAGAAAAUUAUGAAAUUUUACAGACCUAUACUAGACACACAGAUGAACAUGCACACAAAAUUUGAGGGGAUUUAGAGAUGAUUUACUAUGCUAAAUAAAUCACGAGAAACAGGGGACAGAAGAGAAGAAAAACUUGUGAAUUUUGAUGUUUGAGAAAUAUGAUGGAGAUGAAGUUAGGGAGUUCGGAAAUCCACCACCAAGAAUGUUUCAAAAUAUGCUAACAACCUUAAGCUUCAAUUACCAAGUCGCAAAUUGGUUUCAAUCAAGAACAAACCGUGAACGCACUGCGUAAGUCCUUAUUACUUCCUUAGGUUACUAGAGCAAGAUGACGCACCGUUACUUAGCCUUUAGAAUAACCAAUCUAGGUAUAGACGCUAUCCUUUCAAUGAAUUAUCCUAAGCAUUAAACAUAAUGGAAGUUUGAUCGAAACAAGUAUGCAAAACUAGUGUGGAAACGCCUACCUAGCAUGCAAUCCUCUCUACUUGGUUUCACCUAUUGACCAAUAGGUUUUACUACCUUGAACUGAGCCGUAUUAACCGUUUAGGAGAUUAAACGACUCAAUUCUAGCCCUACUUACAAGUUCAUAAUGUCCUAUGUCAGCUCUCACACGAACAUAAACAAGUAAGCAUUCUCUAUAAAACAAAACCAAUAAGACAAUUUGAAAGACUCAAUAAUUCGAAACUUAGGUUCCAAACAAUAUCUAUAACAUCCUUGGGGCUUCAAACCUUGCCCCUAACUAAGAGAACUCAGCCACACAUGGCUACAAAAACACACAAAGAGAAUAUAGUUGAAGAUGACAAAGGAAAGGGAAACCGUGGAUGAUGGAGAGAUCGAUGAUGGCUACACGGCUUCCUUGGAUGGAUCCUUGUGUGAGGCAGCAGCGAAUGGAGGCUUUGUAUGAUGUCUAGAUGGUGAAAACAUCCUCUCUGUGUUCUGGUCGUUCUCUCUUAUUUAUAGGGAGUCAUUAGGUUUUCCAACGUGGUCUGGGCCUCCAAAUUGAAGUUUUGGUCCACAUCAGAAUUUCCGUCAGACUGACCUUCGUUCACUCAAACAGUCAUAACUCCUUGUAGAAAAUAGGUAUCGACGAUCCGUAAAGUGUUCUGGAAACCAGACUCAUGUAGCUUUCCAAUGAUAUAUGGUACACUUUCUGGAUAAUUGUGAGCUGAUCACAAUCUUCUGUAGAAGUCGACUGAUAUUUUCUGGCAAAUUUGUGAUUUCAUUCCUCGCACGACUUGGAUUCCUUUUCUUUUAAGAUUUCUUCUCUUUUGUCUCUUUUGUGCUCUCCGGUUUUAUUUAUGACCUAAAAACACAAACUUAGUUAAAAUGAAUAUUGUUAAAGGAAUUACAUAGCUAAAUAGGGUCGGAAAUACAUUAAGAACGUAGCAAUAUUUGCUUCUAUCAAAUACAGUGUUUCAGGUAAUGCAACAAAUAAGAUUAGAAAUUAAGAAUAGAGAGAGGCAGUGUCAUUCAAAAUAAGAAAUGUAUAAAACAUCAUAUGUAAGAUGAACUUGAUUCAAACAUGAAGGCAUUCAGCCAGACAUCUUUUGCGCAUAAACAAACACCAAAUUUGUAAAUCAAGUCUUCUAUAUCGCAAGAAAGAAAAGACAGAAGGAUAAAAGAAAUGCUUGUUACCUCUUUGGCUUCUUGGCAGUCACUUCUUUUAGAAUUUCAAUCAAAGUGCUCUUUCCGGGUUUCAAGGCCUUCUUUGGUGGAAGCUGGUUUUGUGGUCUUGCUAUUUGUAGAACCUCUCCAACAGUCUUCCCAUAGUAAGGAUACACAGCCUUUAUCAGGAGAACUUUUCUUGAACCAAAGCCGAUUUUCCAUACAUGGCACUGGUGCAUCUUCUGCAUAACGCUAAUCAUUGCAUCUUCUUCAUUAACCAAUUUGUCAUGUACCUCCAAUGAAAGUAGCUCCUAGUCUACCUAUGAGGACAGCUAAAGUCGAAUCAUCCUUGUCUUUAAGACGCAUCUCCAUCUUGUACCUGUGAUGGCAAAAACAUGUAAAUGCGAAUGAGUUGAUUUGAUGUAAAAUACAAUUAUAGUCAGAAUAAUUUAGGUAACUCGAUGCAUUUACGUGAGAAAUAACUAUAACUGUGUAACAGAGUUAUGCAGCAUGCACAGGCUUACUAUAUAGACAACGUUAUCAUUUCUUAACUUUACAGGAAGCGAACAUACAUGUAGUUUUAAGCUGGUCUAUUCUCUGGUAUAGAAUAGAUGGAAAACAAGCCCAACAUUUCAAUUUCCUAAAUUGUAGGAUUAAAUGAUAGAUAUGAUUUCUUCAAGCAGCAGAGUUGUUGUACCAUGUUAUUACCAUUGUUGAUGCACAAACUAUUUUCCUACUUUCAUUCAUCCAUAGCAGCCAUGGUAUAUAUGAAAUGUCAGACAAUUUAGGCAUAUACUGACGAGCAAUUUGACAAUACCUCAAUAGGAGUAAGCUUCUUCUCCCUGAUCUUGUCAUAUGUUGUUUUCUGAUACCUGCUUCUGAUCCAUGCAAGGGAAGGCUGAAGCAAAAAUUAUACAGUAAUGUCAAAAGACGAAAUUGGAAUAAAAAUACAGAAAAGAUGCUGGUAACCAUGAAAAGAAGAAACCAAUACUACAUUGAGAUACUUAUAUUUCUGAUGGAGAGAGGUAAAAACAAACAAACAUUUAGAUUCAAAAAAAAAUAAAUAAAAAAAUUGUUUGCUCCGUUGUAAACUACUUAAGGUGAAGUCACCAGUUGAGUGAAUAAUUUUAACCACUUUUAAGAUGUAACUUGUAAUGCAUGCUGCGACAAUAUAAUUAAGUAAUCUAAUCAUGCUUUAAAAUGCAAACUGCCCCACAUGAUUUCGUGGAGCGGAGCUGAUUAUAGAGAAAGUUAUGAUCAUGAUAUGAGCAGUGCAAAUUAAAAGGUAAAAAUACGAACCUGGAAGUAUAUAGCUUCAGAAGCAAUGAAAUUCAAAUCACUGCAUAGUAGGAGGUUUAGUAAUUAGCUUAAACUCUAGUAAUUGAUUUUCUAUGUUACAACUCAUAUUUUCUGUUUUCAUCACUAUAGACACCACAUUACAAAACCCAGAUGCGAAAUAGAGCUCUGCAAAUCUUAAAUGCAAAUCCGAUUAAAACUCAACUGAUCCGCUUUCAAUCUACUUAACAAGUUAACAGUUUCAAAGUAGAAUAGCACCAGAAUAGAACUAUACCUCUUCAACUGAGCAAAAAAUAAGGUGAACAAUUAUUAUGACCUCCUUCAAAGUUGAUUUUCUUUAAACGAGCAAACCACAACAUGCAGACUAAAAUAUAAUACAAUAAACUUUAAAUAUGUAUGAAUACAAAAUAGAAAUUUCAAACUAACAUUUAGAUUCAGAAAAAAGAAGAAGAGAAGAAUACAGAGUGCUUUGCAUAGAAAGUAAGAGGACUAAUCAAUGACAAAACCAAAUCAAAAGAAUAAAUUUGAGAGCACCAAGCUUACUGAUCUAUGACGAACUGGAUAUCACCCAAAUCAACCAACGCCCAGACUCCACCACAUCCGACAAAGCUAACAUCAAGAAGCAAGAAGCAAAUUCACAAUAAAAAAACGCAAAUCAAAUGCAAACUCAGGAUCAAAAACUUAGCAGACGUAUAAUAACCUAGAAAUAGAUCACUUCCUCUGCCCUGUGACCUCGAUUUUCCAUAUCACAGACUAAAAUUUUGCAAUUGCUCUCUCUCUCAAGCAAAGAAGACAGUGAAAAAGAAAGGGAAACAACUGCGAUCUGCCUUAUUCAUAAGCUGAAGACAGGUCUUCGUGGUGGAACACGAUGACGCCACGCAACAGCCGAACGCAGCAGGCCCGCACACUGUUUGUAAGGAACAGUAAGGCGUCGCUAGGCCCUUUAUUAGAUAGUAAAGUAAUUAACAUAUAAUGGAUCUUCAAACUAUUGGACAAACAAAUGUUUGUCAAGCACCAUAUCAAGUUUAUGAUCUAUAACCAUUAUCCUUUUUUAAAAUUGCACAAGCAAAUAUUUGUCCAGAAACAUAUGAAGCUUCUGGCCAUUUUAUUCAAGUAUCACAUUAAAAAGCCACAAACCAAAAACACAAGUCAUGGUUACCGCACGGCAUAUACAAAAAAGAUGCUCAUAGUUUCCUCAAUUCGUUUUCAAUAAUCUAGAAAGCAGCAUAGCAGCUACGAUACCACAUCCAGACAUUUUGAGAAGCAUACGCCAAUCAACCUGCCUGGAGGGUUUUGGUGGCUUAUCAGCCACUUUAAAAACUGGUUGCUCACAGGCUACUUCCAAAAUUGGCUGCUCAUCCGUAGGUUCAAUAAUUGGCCCUUCACCUGCCAUUUCUGCAAUCUGUAGCUCACCAGCGACUUCUGAAAUUGGCGGCUCAUUUGUAACUUCAACAAUUGGCUGCUCAUUGGUAACUUCAACCACUGGUCCUUGAUCUUUCACCUCCAAGAUUGGAAGCUCACAAGGCACUCUCGUAACUGGCAAUGGAUAGCGGCAGUAAGGACACAAGUGACUCAUCUGCAGCCACUCAGCAAUGCAAUCCCCAUGAUACAUAUGUGAGCAGGGCAAGCGAGUAAUCAUCAACGGAUGAUCGAUUCUUUUUUCUACAACAGCAAUGCGAUCAAGAUCUUCCCUACAAAUAACACAGGAUGUUUGUUUUGCAGCAAGAUCCAAACUGUCAAGUGUCACUUUCUUCAAACCAUCAAUUGAUAAUUUAGUUGCAACAAGACGCUUGGACCAUUCCAUGAGUUCCCUUGUGACCCUAUCAAGGCUCAUACGAUAUUCAUCGAGACUCGUUACACAGCCACAUAAUCGGACAUUGAUAUCCAUAAUGACGACUUCAAUAGGCAACCCAAGCACAGCUCCUUCGACAACCUUAAACGUUUUUUCAAUAAUGUCGGGGUGUUCAUAAUCUGGGACGUCAGGGAAGUCGCUAGAAAGAAACUCGUUUAGGGUCUUUGUAAAGGUAGGCCUGUUGGAUAAGAAAGGAGAGGGAUAGAUGGCAAUUACUCGGCGAGAUACGAAGGUUGCAGGGUGAUCAUAAGUUAUGCCUCCCAAACUAUCAAACCUCCGGCUUCCAGUUCUCUUUAAGAGGAUAAAGUGGACCGCAAGGGCGCCGCUAGGGGUUUCAACUUUAGCACAUUUGUCUGUUUCUCUUUGCAGCGCUCCAGAACAAAAACAACGGAUCUCAAUUGUCAUGGUUCAACAACUCAACAACUGAUAAUCAUGCAAGGAACUGCCAUUAGUUAUCAUCAAAAGAACAGAUUUUAAUCCAAAAAUCCUAAAUGUGGAGGUGAGAGCGAGCCAUACUUACCAAAAGACGGAGAGAGAGAGUCUGCGUCGCCCUGUUGGGAAAGAAGAAUUUAGGGAUUUUAUGUCUCGCACUUCUGCCACAGGAGCCGCAAACUUUUCUGGGUCUCGUUUGCUAGUUCCGCUUGUCAACACUCGAGUCAUAAGACAAUUUUUCUUUUUACUUAAAAAAAAAAAGGACAAUACUGUUCAAGGAUAUUUUCAUUGGGUGCUUUGGUCUGAUAUUAGUUAAAGGAAGAAUCCCUUUUCAUGUAGUGAUAGGUUUAUGUUUCCUUGUAUAACACCGUUUGGUGCUAUGUAAUUCCCUAUAUAAAAGGCUCUCAUAUCAAUGAAUAAGAUGAUGAUUCUCCAUUCUCUGGACUAUAUAUUUGUCUCUACAAUUUCCUCUAUAACAAGUUAAUUAUCAUGCACAUUGUUUUAACCCUGAACUGAUAACCGAUAAAAAAAAACCCUAGAUAGCCAAAAAAGUUUUUCGGCUCCUUUGUCCGACCGCCGCAGCCGCCGCCAUCCGACAACCUCCGGCAACAAAUAUUCUGGCUACCAUCCGCCAUUGAUUUUGGCUUCCUUCAACUUUUACUUUCAAUUUUUCUUUCAAGUUUUGAAAGUAUUUGGUUUAUAAAGACUAACCAUAUGUCUUUUAUUUGUUUCAUGUUAAUAUCGGGCGAGGAAUCACAAUGGAAUCUCGCGAGCAACUUCGUUGCACGCCCAUGGAGCAUGGAAAUUGCAUACUUAACGCAGUUUAUUUGGCAAACUAGCAAGUAAGUUUUUAUUUACAAGUUAUUUCAAAGUUCAAAUAACUCGGGGGGAGUAAAAUCCUUCUUCUCCUUCCCCAUCUCCAUUCCAUGCUUGGUUUUGUGUAAUUUGCAGGAAAAUCCUAGAACUCUCUUUGUUCUAGGAUUUAUAUGGUUUUGUAUGUAAGGUCCGGGUUGUAUGGUAUCCAACCUCGGUAUUUAUAUGGAUUGUGUAGUAUCAAUCCUACAGGUCCGGGUUGUGUUGUAUCAACCACGGCAUUAUUGUGGAUUGUGUUGUAUCAAUUCUAGAUACCGGAUUGUGUAGUAUUAAUCCGAAGGACAAACCAUUAAAGCAUUAAUUUGUGACCUCUAUCGAGUCUCAUAACAUCAUGGUUUUGUAUGCAAGAGCAAUGUAACAUUCUGCUCAUUUUGAGUUUUGACAUACUCGAUGCCCAAGUUGAAUUGUCACUGGGUAUCUGUGGAACUUUUCAUUAGAGGAAAAGAUUUUACCACAAAUUUGACCCCAUGGCUAAGAAGCCUAGAUGCCGAGAUUUAAGAUCUCUUGCGCUCAAAGUUUUUGAGGGGUCAUAUCGACAACUUGCCUUCACCGGUAAUAUGUGCAAAAAGUAAUAACCACAAGAUACUGUGGAAUGCACCUAUGGAACGUUUUUAACACGUCCAUCUAACUCUACUUGUUGAGUUACUAGUCAUGUGACUUGAAUACCACUUAGUUGACUACAUAUCGUCGAUGAUAUUUUAUGGCAUCAUGAUCCAUAAUUUUUAGCGGUAAACUAUUGCAAACAAGAUUUGCAUAUACGCUUAUGAGAUCAACGUAUUAGCCUGUGUUCGUGGGACUAACCCCUGAUGUGGGCCAGACAAUAUAGGUCAUGGCAAUGGCUAGAAGCAGCCGCGCCAAUGUCUAGAAAAGAGGGAGCGGCACUGCCGGCCAUAGUGGCAACGCUCUCGGUCUAGACACUAACUUGUCAAAACUACUCAGGCUAGCUCAGGACAAUGCAAGAUGAACCAGAAAGUGUGUGACCUAUGGUUGGAAAGCUACGUAAGUCUACUUUCCAGAUCGUUUUACGAUUCGUCCAUAUGUAUUUCCUAGAGGAAGUUACAAUGGUUUAAGUUCAUGCGGCGGGAAAUCUGAUUUCAGCGCAAACUUGUGUUUCAAGUUCUCAAGCGACCUUCUCCUCAUGAUCUAAGUUUAAAAGAUCAAUUGUGAGGACGAUACGACAUGAUUAAGUUAAUCAUUGUCCAAUGCCACAUUUGAAGACAUGUUAAAGAACAUUGAUAUGCUAAAGUUAUCCGAACUCCUAUGAAUGAUCUAAAGAAUCAGGGGGAGAUGCAGACUUUAUGGGAGUCUAGCACGUACAUGUCAUUAUCAAAUGUGUCAUUAUCAAAUGUGAAGGGUGCGGUUGUGUCGUAUCAACCAUGUUGUGCUCUUUUUCCUUUAGACCAAGACUUUUUUCCUACUGGGUUUUUGCUUGGCUAGGUUUUUAACGAGGCAACAUCGCAUGCACCGCUUGUCUCUUACAGAGACCAUUGAUCAACAUGAGGUUGUUCAUAAAUGUGUUUGGUUAAGGAUAAUCAUUACACAUGACAGACUUGCUUAAGUCUUGGCCUAAAUCUACUUUCGAGAAACAUGUGAAUUGGAAUGCGGCAUUUAUAAAGUCUCUCCGAUUAAGUUAUUCAUCAGGGGGAGCAUCAUAUGUUUAAGUUCUCGAUUAAGUAGUAUUGGUGUGUUGUGCUCUUUUUGUCCUUCGACCAAGGUUUAGUUUUUCCCAUAGGGUUUUGUUUACUUGAUAAGGUUUUUAACGAGAUAACACCAGAUGAACCAUAACAAUAUGUAUACGCGCAGCACAAGGGAGAGUGUUCAAGGAUAUUCUCAUUGUGUGCCUUAGUCUAAUACUAGUCAAAGGAGGAAUCCCUUUCCAUGUAGUGAUAGGUUUAUGUUUCCUUGUAUAACACCGUUUGGUGCUAUGUAAUUCCCUAUAUAAAGGGCUCUCAUAUCAAUGAAUAAGAUGAUGAUUCUCCAUUCUCUCGACUAUCUAUUUGUCUCUACAAUUUCCUCUACAACAAAUAUAUAUAUAUAUAUAUAUAUAUCUUUAUUAAUAAAGCCAGAAGGGAUUUGAGAAUGGUUAAAUUUUUGAACUGCCCAAAAAACCCAUGAUAUAUUAAUCCCUAUCUAUAUCUGAAAAAGUGGUAAGAGGAUAAGAUGGUCAAUUCAAUAUAUAUAUAUAUAUAUAUAUACAGCCCCAUUCUAUUGAGGGAUCUCUAUUUUUGGUCACUUUCUAGGGAUAUGACAUUACACCACUUCCUAAUUUAAUUUCAUAUCAUAUGUCUAUAUGAGUAGAUCACUUCUACAAAAUUUCAUAUGAUAUGGUGAUCGUUAAGCCUUUCAAAAGUUCGAUUUAUUUUUAAUGAUAUUGAACAGUUCAUGUUUGAUUUCAGUGUUAAACUUUUUGUUUUAAUCUUAGCCAUCCAAUCUCAUUAAAAAAAACAUAUCCAAUGGUUAGGCCUAUCCCUAAAAAUGACCAAAAAUAAGGAUCCCUCGUUGGAAUGGGCAUGUGUGUGUGUAUAUAUAUAUACAGAUUUUCUUGGCUAAAGAUGUCCUUAUUUAUUCUUACGGUGCAGAUUUCCAUUUUUGACUCACUUUUCCAUUGAAUUUUCUCAUCUCCACCGUCUAGUCCUUAGGUACUAGUGUAUAGAUCAUCUCUGCAAAAUUUCAGCCAAUUUGAUAACCGUUAAGGCUUUCAAAAUUGCGUUUUUCUGUUAUAAACAUGGACAGUUCAAGUUUGACAGAAUACAGUUCGUCCAUUGGUUUAGUCGAGUUUGAGUGCCUUAACGAUUACCAAAUUGGCUGAAAUUUUGUAGAGAUGAUCUACACAUUAGUAUCUAGAUAUUAGACGGUGGAGAUGAGAAAAUUCGAUCGAAAAAUGAGUCUAAAAUGGAAAUCCGCACCGUAAGAAU
rnacentral:lncRNA from 1 species